rnacentral:lncRNA from 1 species
AAGCACCUGAAGGCAUGAAAAGCCUCGGAACUGCCUAUUUUACGACUAGUUUUGGAGUUGGAUACUUCAUAAGUAGUUUUCUGCUGAAAACUGUGGCUGACAUUACCGAGAAACGUGGAAAAGGAUGGAUUUUGGACAACCUAAACGUCUCUCGUUUGGACUACUAUUAUGCUUUUUUUGCUGUGCUCUGCUUUCUCAACUUACUUUACUUUCUGUUAGUUGCAAAGCUCUUUGUUUAUAACACAGAACUGAAGGAUACCGAAACGGAGUUGCAUGAAGCAAUCGAGGCUCGACCGAACAAGUCUACACGAUCGGAGGAAAUAACGUUGGAUGAUAAAGCAAGCUCAUAGAAAUAUAAAAAAAUCCCAUGAAAUUUUCCAAGUCUUUUUUCUCAAGCAUGUUUAUCGUUUUCCUUUACUACUCUUUUUUCAUUGUAUCUAAUUAUAUUUCCGCAAUAUAACAAUUUAGAUCACAUUGUAAUAUAAGAAUAAGAUACAAAAAUUCAUCACUUGUUUUGUAAGUAGAUAGUAUUUCCUAAAAAAAAGAAAUUAAAAUCUUGUAUAUCAUAUGACAGUGUCUUAUCUCACACUAUGACUAAAAAUUCAUGGCUUCUUAUGCUACCAUCUGUAUCGCGUUCUUAAUGGCACCUCCACAAGCUGCAAAUAAGGGCUCGUUCGAUAGUGAUUAUAAAAAAUAAUUUUUUUAUCGUUAAAGAGAAAAAUGGAUCCCAUUUAUAAGUGAAAAAGUCAAAAAUGACGAUUGAAAAUAGUGAAAUAAUGGUUAAAAAUUUGAUUUUUUUUUGAAAAAUUGUUAACAAACCUCUGUUUGGCUUCCAUUCUCCUUCUCAUUCUCUCUCUCUUAUUUUCAACAAUAUAAUCUUCCAUAAAAUAAUAUUACAGGCAAAUCAAAAACUUUUGAUUUUUUUUCAACCACCUAUUUUAAAAAAAAAUCAUUAUACCAACCAUUAAAAUUUGAAAAGAAUUGGGGUCAAAUGGGGGCUAAAUCUAAGAGGUCACUCUCGUAGGCCAGCACAAAAUCCAUGCUAAAUAAUGACAUACAUGACUAAACGUAUUGUACUUAUUAUAGCAAUUGAAAAAAGGAAAAUAUUAAGAGCUGACUAUUUUACACCCCAACAAUCUCUUUUUGAAUAUCAAACUUUCAUUUUGGUCCCAACCUACUUAUGAUGAAUUAUGGGAUAAUGACAUAGAUAUGCCAAAAAUUGGGACCGUUUUGAAAAGUCAGCAUAAAACUUAGGCUAGCUAGAAAUUACUUCAAACUAUAUAAUAUUCACUGUUAAAGCACAAUUAACCCUAACCCCAUCGUUUAAAAAUUUCUUUCAAUGAAAUUGAAAGUUAGCUAAACAUGAUUUUUUUGUGACUCGAAUUCAUGAUUCUGGCUCUGAUAACAUCUGUCAAGAUUGAAUUUCAACUAUCUCAAAAAGUUAAUUGGUGAGCACUAAUGGAUUGAGGUAUUCUCAAUUAAGCUAUUAAUGUUGUAAAAAGUAAGUUUAUUACGGUUUAGAGGUGAAUGACAAUUAUACCCCUACAGUUCUAGAAAUAAUUACUGUUGUAUCCUUGAUUCUGCCCUAUAAAUACAGUGCUUUGAUUCUUAAUAAAAUACACACAAGUCUAUUGAUUUCUCUCUGUUCUCUUCUCUUUUCAAAAUACGUUAUCAGUACGAAAAACAUAAUUCUUCAAAUUUUUGAGAGGAUAGUCAUUUUUUUUUAUCACAUAUAUUAAAAUUAAUUUGAUAACACCUGAUUUUUUUUAUCUAUUCUAUUCAUGCAUCCAACUCACGUCUAUAAUUGGGUAAAAAUCAUGUCUAAUUAUUCGUGCAUCAUAGCGGCCGUCAAUUAGUGCCUAACAACUCGCUACCAUCAAUUUGUAGCUUUUGCCUUUACAGAGAUAAAAUAUUACUUGUACAAUGCCUUUUUCGUUUGCUUCUUUAAUUGUCGUCAAACGUGUAAUGAUGAAAAUUUAGCCUGCAGCAUGUCUACCAAAUUAACUGUGUAAUGGUUUACACGUAAUCCUAUGUUCAUGCCUUCAAUUUACUUGGAAUUGCCAAAUUAAUUGUUUAUUUGGUUUACACGUGAAUUUUGUUCAUCAAUUCUGCUGCCUAACAUAUGAUAUAGUCUAAACUAUUUUUAUAGCUUUUGCCAUCAAUCUUUAUUUAUGAUUUGAUUUGAUCAAUGCACGCGUCAUCCUCAUUAAUUAUUGCCAUCAUUAAUAAUUUUUAGUUGUAUUUACGUUUCUUCAUGUGUAAAUUUGGUGAGAAAAUUUAACUAUUCAGUAAUUUUAAUUAUCGUUCAAUUAAUCAUCGAAUUUUUGUUACAAAAUUUUGAUGCUCCUGAAGUAGCACAAUAUUAUAAUUACUAUUGAAAAAUAUUAUUCGCUCCUGAAGAGCAUGAAUUUUAUAUAUAUUUUUUCAAUAUUCCAGAAGAAUAUAUUGACGUAUUGAUCUUGAAAAAAUCAUAAUAAAAUACAACAUGCUCCUGAAGUAGUAUAUGUUUUGAAGAACAUAUUAUUUUUAUGUUUAUCUCUAAAGGAAAAUACGUAACUUAUUUUAUGUUGAUAUUAUUACUUGAUUACUUAUUAUAUAAUGUUUAAUCAUAUUUUUUGAAACUUAUUAUAUUUUCUUUUACUUUAUUGUGUAGUUAAUCAAAUGACAAAUAUCAUGAAACUCAAGUUUGAUGCACUUUAUAUAUCUGGCAAAAAUUAUUUAUCAUGGGUACUUGAUAUCGAUACCCAUCUUAUCUCAAAAGAUUUUGGAGAGACAAUAAAAGAAGGAAACAAAGAAUCCCUACAGGAUCAUGCAAAAGCACUCAUCUUCCUUCGUCAUCAUCUUCACGAUAGAUUAAAAAUUGAAUACCUCACUGAGAAAGACCAACAUGUUCUUUGGAAAAACUUAACUAAAAGAUUUGAUCAUUAGAAGACUAAAAGCAUUCAUCCUCCUUUGUCAUCAACUUCACGAUAGACUAAAAAUUGAAUACUUCACUGAGAAAAAUUCACAAGUUCUUUGAAAAAAAUUAACUGAAAAAUUUGAUCAUUAGAAGACUAUAGUCUUUGCCAAAGUCCGUUAUGAGUGGAUGCACUUUCAUUUGCAAGAUUUUAAAACUGUUAGUGAGUACAAUUCUGAAUUGUUCAGAAUGUGUUCAAAAUUGACAUUGUGUGGAGAAAAAAUCACUGAUGAAGAUAUGUUGGAGAAAACUUUUUCCACCUUUCACGCCUCGAAUGUGCUCUUACAGUAGCAAUAUCGUGAGCUUAGUUUCAAAAAAUACUCAGAACUUAUAUCUUACCUACUUGUUGUUGAACAGAAUAAUGAACUGUUGAUGAAAAAUCAUGGGUUACGUCCAACUGAUUUUGUACCAUUGCUUGAAGCAAAUGCAAUAUCAAGAUAAGGACGUGACAUAGAUGUGGACACGUAUUUGGACGUGGACGCGGACGUACACGCUGAAUAAAUCAUGGACAAAAUAUUCAACAAAGUUUUCAACAACCAGGCAAUAUUUUCAAAAGGCACAAAACAAAUGAAAGUAGCACAUUGAAAAGGGUACAUGAAGAAAGUUGCUUUAGAUGUGGAAUGAAAGAGCAUUGGGCACGUACCUUUCGUCUGGAAAAACACAUUGUGGAUCUCUCCUAAAAAUCAAUACAGGGAAAGGGGAAAGUGGAGACAAAUUUUACUGACUAUGACGGUUAAAUUGAUGUGACUCAUUUGAAUGUUUUCGAUUUCUUUGCUGAUCCAAAUGGGAAUAUUGAUCAUUUGAUUAGGGAUGAUGUGAUGGAAGAGAUAGAUUAGUUUUUUAUAUUUUUAUGUUUCUAAUAUUUCAUUUUAUUUUAGAAAUUUAGUUUGAAAUAUGUUUUUACUUUUCGUAAAAAUUUUGAACUUUAUUAUGCAUCGUUAAUUUCACAGUAUUAAUUAUGCUUAUUAUUUUGAAUUUAAAUUCAAGCUUCUUUUUUUAAUAUUGAUAAAUCAUGAUGGAUUGUCAAAACACCUGUUUGAUUGAUAGUACUACUACACAUACUAUUCUUCAAGACAAAAAAUAUUUUUGGACCUAACAUUAAAAGAAAAUAAUGUCAAUACAAUAUCAGAUGCAUCAAAUAUCGUUGAAGGUUCCGGAAGAACUUGUGUUAUUUUACCAAAUAAUACAAAAUUGUAUAUUGAUGAAGCACUUUAUUCUAGCAAAUUCAGAAAAAAUUUACUUAGUUUUAAAGAUAUUCGCUACAAUGAAUAUCAUAUUUAGACAAUACAAGAAAAUAAUAUUGAAUAUCUUUACAUAACUUUUUUAUAUCUGAUUAGAAGCAGAUAAAAGAAAAAUUUUAUGCAUUCUCAUUUCGCAUGUAUUAUGCAUUUAUAAAAAUGGUUGAAUCAAAUAAUGUCACGAAUCAGAAGUUCGUUGACCCAAAAAGUUUUAUAAUUUGGCAUGAUCGACUUGAACAUCCAGGAACUGUAAUGAUGCGUCGAAUAAUAAACAAUUCACAUGAACACCCUUUAAAGAACCAAAAGAUUCUUUUACCAAAUGAUUGUCUAUGUGUAAUUUGUUUGUAAGGCAAGUUAGUCAUUAAACUUUCGAUUACAAAGGUCAAUAUUGAUCCCCAAUUUUUUUUGAAAAAAAAUCAUAGAGAUAUAUGUGGGCCAAUACACCGACCAUGUUGACCAUUUUAUUAUUUUAUGGUAUUAAUUGAUUUUUCUACUAGAUGGUCACAUGUUUGCCUACUUUCCACUAAAAAUGUAGUUUUUGCUAGACUACUUGCUCAAAUUAUAAAAUUACGAGCAUAAUUUUUCGAUUACUUAGUUAAAACUAUUCGCCUUGACAAUGCUGGUGAAUUUAGAUCACAAGCAUUCGAUGAUUAUUGUAUGUCAAUCGGGAUUAUAAUUGAAAAUUCAGUUGCGCAUAUCCAUACAUAAAAUAGUUUGGCAGAGUCGUUUAUUAAACGUCUACAACUUAUUGUUAGACCAUUACUUAUGUAAACAAAACUCCCAGCUUCUGUUUGGGGUUAUGUCAUAUUACAUGCUACAUCAUUAGUUCGUAUUGGACCAAUUGUCUAUAAUCAAUAUUCACCUUUGCAACUGGCAUUUGGUUAUAAACCUGAUAUUUCUCACAUACGGGUUUUUGGUUGUGCAGUCCAAGUCCCUAUUUCAGCUCCACAACGUACUAAAAUGGGUUCCCAACGAAUACUUAUGAUUUAUGUGAGUUUUGAUUCAUUAUCAAUUCUUAGGUAUUUUGAACCUUUAACAGGGGAUUUAUUUGCUGCACAUAUUGCAAAUUGUCAUUUUGAUGAUAUGACUUUUCCAACUUUGGGAAGGAAAAACUACAACCCGAAAAAUAAUGUAAAAUUUUUUGGAAUGAAAUAACUCUAUCUUACUUUGAUCCCCGCAACAAUCAAUGUGAGCAAGAGGUUAUAAAAUCAUUCAUUUGUAAAGAGUUGCAAAUCAAUUACCUGAUGUAUUUGUUGAUACAAGAAAAGUGACAAAGUCAUAUAUUCAAGCAGAAAAUAUUUCAGCAAAAAUUGAUGUCUCUACAGGACAAUCUACUGUUGCAAAUAAAUCUCAAAUACGUCAGAAGCGUGGUCGACCAGUUAGUACAAAACACUAUGUACCUCGAAAAAGAAAGGUACAUGAGAAAAACCAACCAAAAACUUCCAAAAAAGUAACAUUAGAAAAGAUUGAUCAAUCAAAUAUUGAAAAUAUGGUUCUCGAAGAACCACAUGUGCCUGAAAAUAAUGAGAUUCCAAUAAAUUAUAUGUUAUCUCAUAAAUUAUGGGAACGAAAUAAUGUUGUUAUAGACAAUAAUUUCGUCUUCAAUGUGGCUCUUGAUAUUAUGCAAAAUGAUGAUCCUGAACCAAGUCAGUUAAAGACUGUUAAAAUAAAAAUGAUUGGCCAAAAUGAAAAGAAGCCCUACAGGUGGAAUUGAAUUCCUUAGAGAAAUGAAAAAUGUUUGGACCUGUAGUUCGAACACUUGAAAAUGCAAUCCAUGUUGGAUACAAAUGGGUUUUUUUGCGAAAGAGAAAUGAAAAUAGUGAAAUUACAAGAUAAAAAACCCGACUAAUAGCUCAAGGUUUCUCACAAAGACAAAGAAUUGAUUAUGAGAAAACAUAUUCUCCCGUAAUGGACACAAUCACUUUUAGAUUCUUAAUUAGUUUGACUGUUUCACAAAAACUUUAUAUGCGCCUUGUAGAUAUAGUAACUGCAUAUUUGUAUGGUUCACUAUAUAUGAAAGUCCCUGAAGGACUUAAGGUACUAGGAACAAACGAUAGAUGGUCGAGAACUAUGUUUUCAAUUAAAUUGCAAAGAUCAUUAUAUGAAUUAAAACAAAUCGGACGCAUGUGGUAUAGUCACCUUAGCAAAUAUUUGUUGAAUGAAAGUUAUAAAAAUGACGAUAUCUGCUCAUGUGUUCUCAUAAAGAAAACAAAUAGCGAAUUUGCAAUUGUGGCAGUUAUGUUGAUGAUUUAAAUUUAAUUGAAACCCUUAAUGAGGUAUUAAGUUUCUAAUUCUAACUGCCAUUAAUUUAGGCUUUAUAAGUUUGACAAGAGAUUAAUAAUCCGAAUAUUAUAGAUUAUCUGGGUUUACAUGAUGAUUGCAUAAUUGUUCAUUAUUAGAUUUAAUUGUUCUGUCAAAUUACACAACCAGUAUUAUGUGUUAGAUCUAGCAGUAGCUAUGCACUGUGUGAAUUCUUCCACAGUAAAAUUUGAAGUAUUUUCAAAAUUAAUAAAAACAAUUGUGCUUCUGUUAAUACAAUGUGACAACUAUCUUAUUAUAUUUUAGAUAUCUAUAACAUUAUUCAAAUCAAGCUGAUUAUUUUUCUUUGAAUUAUGGCAUACUUUUAUACUGUUACCUAGAAUUUUUUUGGUGAUACUUGAUACUUUCUAGCUUAAUUAGAGAAAGUGUCGAAUAAUUAUAUAGCUUCUUCAAAAUAAGUAAUUCCACCUUACUCAUUUUCAACAGGUUCUCUUAAGUCCAUUGUAUUACACAGGCUUUCAAUCUUUCUAGACAUUAAUUUGCAAUGAUAAAAAUGCAUAAGAUAUAAUUAGAAUAAUUUCUUUAAGGUGAUUCAUAUUGGUCCCAAGAAUCUUGCCAUGGUGUGCGGCAGCUCAUUAGCGUAUUACACUAGAAUAUAAUAGUCCAGCUAGCACAAUGCUCUCUCAAGUUUAUACUUUUUUUUAGAGAUCCCAAAAAAAUGUUUUUCUGCAGCAUUAUGUGUAAUAAUAGUAAGAGAAAUUUAUGCCAGAAAAGGUGAUAGUAGUAUCCAUCUCAACAAAUUCCUCAUCCACUAACGUUUUAUGCAAGUGUUCAAGAGCAUAUAUCUAUGUCAGUAAUCGUUAUGUAAAUUGCCGGAAUUAACUAUUCUAUUAUCUUAUAACUAGCAGGAUAGUAUUAUAUACGUAAUUCCUUAUUAUCAUGAUAGCAUUAACUAACUGGAUGUAGCACACAAUAGAUGCAUUUUUCUUACAUUAACCAUUUGGUACCCAUUUUUUUCAAAAUGCAUUUUUCUCUCUCUUCUUUUCAAUCACACAUUCUUUAUUAAAAUAAUAUUACACAUAAAUAAAAAAACUUUUCAUUAAAAAAACUUUUCCCAUCAAUUUACUAUUCAAAAAUGUAUUUUUACAUAAAAAUGUCUCCUAAACACUCCCUAAAUAUUAACAUCGAUAUUAGUAUUUUUUUCGAAAUUUUCCAAUAUUAAUUGAUGGAAUGGUACAGAGACGAUACCUACUCCAUUUAUGGAGAAUAUUGUAGCCAUUUAAAAAAACUUUGAUGCUACUUUCAAUGCAACUAUUUUCCUGCUCUUUUCUUCUAGUAAUAACGCCGACAAUCCUUACAAAGAAUGGUUUCUAGAAUUCUUGAUUACAUUUGACCUCUCUAAUUUUAACUCUUGGAUCACCCUAGAUGCUGGAAAAUCGGGACAUUCCCCAAUUUCAAUAUUAACUUCCACUACUAAAAAUCAUGGCUUCAGGCAUAGAUUUUUCGUUCCUGAAAUCUCAAUAUCCGUUGCUAUAACUCUUUACUAACGGAAUAUUUGCAAUCGCAAAUCCGUUGCUAAUUUGAGGGUCGCUGAUAGUUACCAACAUAUCCUGCAGUAGGUAAAAAAUAAACAUUUUAUCAACGAAUUUUUCAUAGGUAAAGUGUGAAUCUUUUACCAACGAAAAUUUGAAUCUUUUACCAAUGAAAUUUUCGGUAAAAAUCUUAACCAAUACCAAUCGACUUUUCGUUAGUAAAUCUCUACCAUUACAAUUGGUAAAAAUCAAUGUUUUAAAUAGCCGCAUAUGUGUGAGGCAUGGUAAGAAAAAAUAUUUAUUAUUUUAUAUUUGUUAUUAUUAUUUAUUUAAUUAUUCUAUUUUAUUUUUUUUACUUUUAGCCAACCAAACUGAAAUGCCAAAAUAUUGUUUAACCACUCAUUAGAUCACAAAUUAAUUUAUAGAGAGCAACUCCGAAGACUUUGUUGUGAACUUUCAAUAUGGGAUAAGUGAAUUACUUUUACCAGCGGAUAAUCCGUUUCUAAUUACCAACGGAAUAUCCAUAGUUGAAAUAUCCAAAUGUUAACGAUUACAUAAGGCACAAAAUAUCCCUUGGUAAAAAGAUACUAUCGUUACCAAUGAAAAAUUCGUUGCUGAUUAUCGUAGUUGAAAGUGAAUUAUCAUUACCAACGGAUAAUCCGUUUCUAAUUACCAACGGAUUGAAUCCGUUGGUAAUAUUCGGUACGUCGCCUACGAAUAUUCCGUAGGUGAAAGAUUCAAAUGUUAAAUGGUUACAUGAGACACAGAAUAUCCGUUGGUAAAGAGAUACCAACGUUACCAACGAAAAAUUCGUUGCUGAUUAUCGUAACUGAAAGUGAAUAACUUUUACCAAUGAAUAAUUUGUUUCUAAUUACCAACGAAUUGCAUCCGUUGGUAAUUUUUCGUAGGUGAAAAACUGUUUUUUAGUAGUAUUCUGACAUAAAUUUGAAAAGGAAACCCAAUGAAGCUGGACAUCGAGAGGGAAAUAAGAAGUCCAAUGCUUCAUUUAUCAACUGUGUUCUUAAUGGAACUGAUUCAUCUGAGAGAACUGACAAAAGUGUGCAAUUAAGUGAUGGUAGGAAUGGAGAAUUUGAGAAGCAAGGUGGAUGUGACAUGUUUUUCAAAGUUGGCACUCAGGUAUCUCCAUUGCAGUCGUCCGAUUGGAAUGACAAAAUGACCAGUGUGUAAGAACUAGAUAUGAAUCAGGUUUUGAAAUUUUCACCUGGUGGCUCUCCUUCCUUUGGUGAUGCCAAAGAUGCAGAUGUUUGCACUGAUGAUAUAGGUAGUAGAAAUGGGGUAAGAUUCAAACCCUCAUUUCGUUUGAGUAUAAUUGGAAGUACAAAAUUUCCUUCGAUUACUCAACUUGCUGCAUCAUUCCUUUAUCAAUUGAAUUCAAGGUAACACAAGUUGGGUUCAUCUGUUUACCACAAUAUUGAUCGCUGGGUGAACUAUUAGAGUAAAAAUCUCAAAAGGAAAUAACUAUGAACAUUUUUUCCUACUCUCGUAAUUGAACUUACUACCCAUCAAUUGAAUUUAUACACCAUGAAAACAAACUCAAUUGUUGUAAGAUGAUCGACAUGUCAGGACUUUGAUCACAAGAUUGUUCUUUCCAAUUGAAUAUUGGUCAUGUUGAAAUAGCUCUCCAGUUGUCUUAGAAAAUCGAUAUGAGUUAACUUCAAUAUCCCUUGGAAUUAUGGAGUACUCUUGUCCUCUUUCCUUGGUCUAAAGCCCUGCAUGACAUUUCUAUCCACUGAAGUCCUCGCCUUGUUAUGCUGAUUGAUGGAACCACGUAUACUAGUAGAAAUUUUUGCCUUUAUGAUCAUCAUGUCGAGGCGAUUAGAUCACUCCCAUUUUCAUAAAAUGCGAUGUUCACUGAAGUGCUAGUAUCAGUGAUUUCAGGUGAUUCAUCUUUCUUAAUAGCAUAAUCAAUAGCCAUCCAUCCUAAAUGGAGAAGAAUUCUCUCCUUCCAUACUUUAUAGUUGUCACCCUUUAAUUCAUGAAUAUCACAACGAAUAUAAGAGAAAUUAGAAGGUUGUGAAGUUGCAUAAUAUUAAAAUUUGCUUAUGUUAACUUAAGGCUUAAUAGAUUGCAUGUUUUACCGAUGUAAAUGUGCUAAAAUUGAAUACAAUGACAUAAAAAUUGCCUAUAUGUUGAAUUUUUAAUUCAAACAUAUUCAAUUAUUUUUUAGAUAAAAUUAUCAAAUUAUAUAGUCAAUUCAUAAUUUGUUCAUUAUGAAAUCAAUUUGAUAUUCUAUCCUAAAGAAAUCUUGUAAUAAAACUAUCAAAUUAUAUAUUUAUUCAUAAUUCCUAUGGGAAAAUUAUGAGAUAAUUUGAUAUUUUAUUCUAAUUAAUUAUAUAAAUAUAACAAAAAUCCUCGUGGGAUAAAAUUCAUAAUAUUGAGUAUAAUUAAUUACUAUUUAAUAUCAUUAAUCAUUAUGUGAUCCCCAUCUUAAUAUAUAAAUUUAUUUAAUUAAAGAUGCUGUGGCUAAUAAUUAAAUAAAUAAAAUCAUACUCAUCCCUAGACAUUAUCAUGUUGUGCAUAAACGAUUAACUUAAUAUGAGAAUAGGUCUAAUUGCACAAUAUUAACUAAUAUGUUAUGAUUAUACACAAAAUAUUCUCAUAAACAUUCUAAAUUGAAUAAAAUAAUUUAAACAUAAUCAAUUUAUGCAAACUUAAUAUGAGCAUAAUUCAUAAUUUAAUACAUCCUAAAAUUGCAUAUAUUAUUCCAAACAUAAAUAAUUAACAUAUGCAAAAAUUAGGCCAAGAUAUAAGAUAUGCCCAUAUAUCAAAUAAAUAGGGCAACUUACAAAAAUACCCUUAAAAUUAUGAGGAUUUUGAAAAAUCAUAUGAAAAGUUUUUUAGAAGUAAAAAAUACUAUGUAAAAUUAAAAAGUGACACGAUGCCACUUUUUUAUAAGAGUUGCGUCACUUUUUUUUAGAAAAAGUGACACAAUAUCACUUUUAAAAGUUUUGUAUCACUUUUUUAUUAAAAAAAUUACAUACAAUGUUACUUUUAUUAAAAAGUACUGUUUGUAACUAAAAAAGUGAUAGAAAUUUCAAAUAAGCAAUUGAAAAAAGUGAUAAAAACUAAAAAAAGUGAAAAAUUCAAAAAAGUGGGAAUUACUAAAAAAAAUGACAAAAAUUCAAAAAAGUAACAGAAACUUUAAAAAAGUGACAAAUAUAAAAAAGAGACACAAAUUUAAAAAAAAGUUACACAUAUUCGAAACAAAUGAGAGGGCAUAGAAAUCAAUUGUUAAGUGUCAUUUUCUUAUUAAAAAAUGAUAUAACUAUGUCAUUUUUAUUAAAAGUGAUGUUUGUCAUUAAAAAAGUGAUAGAAAUAAAAAAUGUAAUUGAAAAAAGUGACAAACACUAAAAAAAAAAAAGUGACAAAUUCAAAAAAGUAACAAAAAAAAAGUGGCGAAUUCAAAAAAGUGACACAAAUUAAAAAAGGACACAUGUUGAGCUUGUUCAUCACAUGCACCUUCCAUCUUUGCCUCGUCAACAAUGUGUAAGCUGAAAUCCAAUAGUACCUAUGCUACCAUGAACAUUAUCUAACUAAUAUUUUCUAUACAAUUAGACACAAACUUGAUAAGUAAGGGAAAAGAGGUGUCGACUAUUCGUUACUGAUCGCAUGUAAAUUAAUAAUUGAUUUUAGAUGGUAAUGGACUCCUUAAUUUAUUGUUCAGUGUACUAAAAUAUAUCAUAACUCCAUUGAACAAUGAAUCAAAAGACUACUCAUAUCCACCUAAAUAAAUAUUGGGCACAACCUAUAAUGUGGCCAUAAGACUAUCUGGAUUGUCCAGUUUGAGGCCAUUAGACCUUAAGGGACUAAUCCUAAUACAACCCUUUUUCGAUGGUGAGUCGAGGACUCAAUCAGAGAAGUAUAUGGUGCAAUCACAAUGCUCCGCCCUCACACUGGUGGCUUCAGACACUUACUAGAAAUGAUAUACCAUGUCACUUUUAUUAAAAGUGAUAUUUGUCAUUAAAAAAGUUAUAGAAAUCAAGAAUGUAAUUGAAAAAAGUGAUAAACACUUUAAAAAAAGUGACAAAUUCAAAAAAGUAACAAGAAAAAAAAGUGGCGAAUUCAAAAAAGUGACACAAAUUAAAAAAUGAUACAUGUUGAGCUUGUUCAUCACACGCAUCUUCCAUCUUUGCCUCGUCAACAAUCUGUAAGCUAAAAUCCAAUAGUACCUAUGCUACAAUGAACAUUAUCUAACUAAUAUUUUCUAUACAAUUAGACACAAACUUGAUAAGUAAGGGAAAAGAGGUGUCGACUAUUUGUUACUAAUCACAUGGAAAUCUUCUAAGCAAAGAUUGAGAUUAGUAAUUCAAAAAUUUGUGAGUUUGUAGUAACAUUUGUUUUCAUACAGAAAGAUCUAAUCACCUUUGCCACAAGGGCACCUGAAAUGAAAUUUAACCAUAGACAUAAGAUGCAAAUUAUACACUCAAGAUGUAAAUAAAUACCAAAGCAACAAUGGAACAAUUACAGAAAAAUCAUAAGGUCUACAAUUAUUAUUUUUUAAGAUUAAGCUAUGAAUUUAUACCAGAAAAAGAAAAACAAGAACUCAAUCUUUUUCUUCACAUUCAAAACACCUUAACUAGUCCUCCAAUUCAUGAUUUCACAAUGGAUUUUAGUAUUAUUCAUUAAAUAAAUAUUACCCAUGGUGACGAGGAAUGCAUUGAUGAUGGGGAAUAGCGGGCUAGAAACACUGAAAGUUUAUUGACCAGAAAUCACCAUAAUGAAAUUACAGAUUUAGGACUUGAUUGAGACUGAUUCAUGAAUGAUUAAUAGUCAGAUUUGGUAUGAUAGUGGACGGCGGGAGAAAAAACAAAUCAUUAUAUUAAUUUGCGUGUCCGUUUCCUUGUGGAUCCACACAUUCCUUCACAAGAAUCAACUGAAUGGUAGGGUGCGGUGUUCGUGGAAUUAGAUUAGUUUUUGCCUUGUUUGAUUUUAUUGUAACAGUAAAAUUUACGGUUAAUUAAUGCUAAUGAAAAGAUAAAACUUUAAAAGUGUAUUAAUCAAUUUUUUAAUAAAUGUGCCGUACGGGGCCUAAUUUUACCAAAUAAAUAUGUCGAAGAAUUAAUUGGCCCAAUAGACAUAUAUGUGCCGAAGAAUUAAUUCUGUAAAAAGCAAUCUAGUAAAAGUGUCGGUUAUAGCCCAACUAUUAAUUGCAUAAAGAAAACAGGCUUCAUGAAAAUAACAGGCCCAAUGAGAAUUAAUCCAAUUAAAAACGGGAAUUUUCACGUAUAUCCCAAUAUAGAAAGAUAAUUCCAAAAUCACUAACACAUUUUUUUUAUUCCUAAAAUACUAUAUCUGGCAACAUAAAAUUACCAAAUAACCCAAUUAACAUAAAUAUAGGUAACUGAUUGCAAUCAAGAUACAGACUUAUCUCCAAGUCAUUAAGUAGUUCCUAUAGUGUAAGGAUUUAUUAUAGAAACAAUUGGAUUAUUAAAUAACAUCCUGUUAUAAAAAGAGAGAAAAGAGAAGAGAACAGAGAAAAGUCAAUAAACUUGUGUCUUUUAUUAAGAAUCAAAGUCCUUUAUUUAUAGGGCAGAAUCAGAGUUACAACGAUAAUAAUUUCUAGGGUUGCAGGGGUAUAAUUGUCACUCACCAAUAAACCCUAAUGAACUUUCCUUUUUACAACACUCCCCCUUGAAUGACACAUUAUAAAAUAUGUAUCUCAUUGAAACGUUAAUUAGCAAAAAUCCAAUGGGACAAAAUGUCAACAAAAAGAGUAAAAAUAAUUUGAAAUAAUAAGAUGCUGCCUCGUUAAAACUUUGUCAAGAAAACCCAGUGGGACAAAACUUGAUUGAAGUAAAAAGAAUACGCUACUCCCCCUGAUUUCAAUUCUUGUAUUAAUUCAUCAUUGCCUUAUACAUCACUCAAUUUUUGUGAAAUGCCUUAUGUUGUCUUGUACAAUCUUCAAAUAAUACCAUCUUCGUAAGUGAUACUUUAUCAUUCUUUGAUAACUGUAGUAACAUGAUAAUUCGAAAAUAACUCUUGUUGAUUUUUUCAAGAGUCUCAUACAUAUAAUGUAUUAUUUUGAGGGUAAAUGUCUUGCAUAUUAUAGACAUUAAUUACACGAAGAAUAUGCCUCAUUAAAACCUUAUUAGGAAAAAACCCUGCGGGAAAAAGUCCUAAUGAAGGAAAAAGAGUGCAUUAUUCUUUUGAAUACACUACAAAAGUUGCCUCAUUAAAAACCAUGCCAGGAAAAUCUAAUGGGAUAAAACCUUGGUCAAGGGAAAAAGGGUGCAACGCGUAUUUACUCCCUCUCAUAUUAAUAUCAAUUGAAUUAUGAUUCAGGCAUAUUAAAUCUUUCAAGGUAACAUGGAUAGCCAAAUGUAUUGUCUAUAAUCAAAUUUGUGUCAAAUUCUACGCAUUGUCAGGCUAAUAAAACUGAGACUUGUAAUUAUAUUCACCACAUGAUAAUUUAUUUAUCUAUAUAAGUUUUCACGAAAUUCAUUAUGUAAAAAGUUGUACAUUUCACAUUACGACUUUACUUUUUCCAUUUUCAUUUCGCACAAGUAUACACCUCUUGGUGUUUGAACUGUAUAUCCAGAAACUUCAGGUUUCUCUAGUAAGUUUAAUUUGACUAGGAUCACGUUCAUUUUAUUUGGCCAAUCACUAUUUCGAUAGAUAUAUUUCAACGAAUUUAUUUCAAAUCCUCGCUAUAUGAUCGAGCACAUCAUAUGUAAAACUAUUGUCCACAACAUUUUCUUCUCUUGUUCGAUUCUAUUUCUUUUUUUAUGAUGACAUAACUUAUUGAGAUAUCUCAGUUUUCAAUAUAUCAGGUACCUGAACCUCUUCUGGAAUUUUAUAAUAUGUUAUGUCUAAAUACUCAUAAGUGUGUAUGCCUCAUCAAUGAGACCAUCUUUGUUAAUUGCUCCAUUUGGAGAUUUUUUGUGUUAGAAUCGAAUAUCAUCACGCUCAGGCGUGUUAUUAAAUAUCAUAUUAACUAAUUGUCCUCUGUAACGUUAAUUCAAGUUGGAGCAUUUGAAACUGAUGUGAAAGAUAUUAUUGAUCCAUUUGAUCAGUAUAUGCAUCUAAAUAAAUUAUACUUCGAACUUCUUGUUCGAGUAAUCUUUUGCUAGGAUUUAGAUAAUGAUGCAUUUAUACAUUAUUUUCAACUUCUUAAUUCCUCCCCCUAAUGCCGAGAAAAUUGUCAAAUCAAAUUGAUAAAUAUUUUUACUACGUUAUAAAAUAUCACAAUUUGUAAUAAGGGUUCAUCAACACAUUUAUUCUCAACAUUCAUUACUUUUCAUCUCAGUGCAUUGUGGUGGAUCAAUUUUAUACAUACUGCAUUAUAAAAAUAAUUAGAUGAAAAAAUUAGGCUACGACCAUAAGCCAAUUUUAAUAGGGAAAACUAUGAUAUUGGCAAGAUGCGUAAUAACAUUCCCUAGAUGGAAAUAGGAAAUACAUUAUUUUCAAUUAAAUUAAUUGUAGACGUUUAAUAAAGAAACUUGUUAAAUCAUUUAUCAACAUCUCAAAAAGAACUCAUUAAAAUGUUGAGAAUUAUACCUACUAGCAUUAACAAGACACAGUUUUGAUUAUUUAAUCUGAAAAUUAUGCUCAUACUUUAAAAUUUGAGCAAUAAUUUCUCAAACUUCAGGUUGCGAAUAUCAUGCAAUCAUCUACUAUUUGUAUCAAAUUUAUUAUAUACAAAUAAUAUUCAGAUGAUCAACGUGGUGGGUGACGGGGCCCAUAUAUCACCCUAAUUAAUUUUCAGAUAUAUAGAAAAUUCAAUCCCAAUUUUAGCUAGUGGCCUUUAAUGAUCAACUGUCGAUAAUGAGAACAAAUGAUACAUAGAAAUUUAUAGAAUUAAAUAAUCUUCUAGUUCUUGAUUUUGAUUUCGAUCAUUGUUGAUCCAGUGAUGGUCCAACUGGUCAUGCAAUCAAACUGAACUUCUGGUUCAAUGUAAGAUAUAAUCCAAUUAUUUAAUUUCGAAGAAUAUGAUUAAAUAUUAUAUAAUCAUAUAAUGAUCAAUGUCCACGUGACAUAAGUCGUAUACUUUCCUCCAGGGAUAAACAAAAAUUCAAAAUGAUAUAUUCUUCGAAAACUUGCUACUUCGAGAGCACAUUAAUUAUUGCUUCUUCAAGAGCAAUACAUAAAUAUUUUUCUGAAAUAUUGAUAUAUACCUAGUUUUGAUUAUUUACAAGUGAUAGGAUAAUAUUCUUCAGGAAUAUUGACACAUUUAAAUUAAUCAUAACAUUUUUCUAAAUUAUUAAUAUGCAUAAAUUUGUGCUUCUUUAGGAACACAAUACUGUAUUCUUCAAGUAAACUAGUAUAUAUUAUUUUUACUUCUUUUGGAACAAUAUAUCAAUAUUUUUCUUAAAAAUAUUGAAAUUAUAACAACGUGCUUUCUAAUAGCAUAUCAUUCUUUGAGAAUAUUGAAUCACCAAAUAGUAUGCUCUUCUAGAGCUAUAAAAUUGUUUUGAAUUAUUUGUGUUUCUACAAGAACACAACGAGAUAUAAUUCUUCAAAAUGUGUGCUACUUCAAGGGCAUGUCAUGUUUUAUUAUUAAUUCUUCAAAAGAAAUAUAUCAACAUUCUUCUGAAAUAUUGAAAGUUAUACAAUAAUUUAUUCUUCAGGAGUAAAAACACAAUUUUCUAAUGAUGCUCUUUGGGAGCAAGUAAAAUAUAACUAGAACAUUAAUAAUAAUAUGCUGAUUCAAGAGCAAAAAUAUUUUAUAGUAGACAAAUAUACGAGUAUUAAAAUCAUGUAUGAUAAGGGUAAGAACGAGAUAAUUAAUCAAACGAUAAACAAUAGUAAUUGACAUUUAGCGAUGAACCUAGUUUAAUAUAUGAUAUUUAUACAAUCACAAACUGUAAUAAUUAAGUGCCUACUUUGUUUAAUAUAAACUUAAAAUUUGUCACCAAAAUUUAACUAGAUACCGUGACAUAAUUAUGUAUACAUAUACGUGUAAAAUUAAUAUUACCUUCUAUCGAAUAUGAAGAUGAAUUGCAAACUUGCAUAGAUAGCAUUGUCUCAGAACCUCCAAAAAGGUACAAGAAGGAAUUGAUGAUAAAUUUGGGUGGCUGCAACCUUGGAUAUCAAUCAUUAACCACGAAGGAGAAUUACACACAUGGUGGUCACACAUCUUGAAAAUGGUCAUGCACAUAAUUUAGAUAAAUACGUCUAUUAGUAAUAUGAUGCUCUUUUGGAGCAAUUAAUAUUCUUUUGGAAUAUUUUUAUAGCAUGGGUUGUGUUUUUUCGAGAAUAUCAACACUAUAUUCAUUUAAAAUAAAUAUAAUUUAAGUUAUACUUCUUCAGAAAUAUUGAGUUAAUAUUCUUCUGGAAUAUUGAAAUUGUAAUAUCAUGUUCUUCUGGAACAAUUAAUAUUCUUUUAGAAUAUUAAUAAUGUUGUGCUACUUCAAGAGUACCAACAAACUCUUGUAAAAAUAUUAACUCUAUAGGAGUGUUAUCAUUAUAAAAUAUUUAUCUGUAUGAAGAUUCGCUCUUCAAGAGCAAUAAGCAUAAUAUUCUUCUAAAAUAUUAAUUAUAAUGUUGUGCUACUUCAAGAACAAAAUAUUUGUAAUAAACAUAUUUAUGAUUAAUAUUCUUUUGGGAUAUUAAAAAAAAUAUUGUUCAUGUAAUGUUGUGCUACUUCAGCAACAACAAAAUACUCAUCUUUGAUAUCGAUCUAAGAUAUUUCUCAAAUCAAGAAAUAAACUAAAUUUUAUAAAAUCCGCUCUUUGAGAGAGAGUAAUAUUCUACUAGAAUAUAACCAUCAUAUGAAAUUUAAUAACCAUGAAUUUUGGAUUCUUCAGGAAUAACAAAAUAUUCUUCAUGACCAAUAUGUCAAUGUUGUGCUACUUCAGGAGUAACAAUAAAAUAUUUGUAGUAGACAGAUCUACAAAUAAUAUUUUCAACAAUUAAUCCGUAUUUGUAAAGCUUUAUUAUUGUUAAUUUAUAUGAAGUACACGAAAAUCGAACAAACAUUUAUAUAUAUAUAAAUUUCAGACAUUAUAUUUUACCAUAUAAACAUGAUAUGAAUUUAUAUGGAAAAAUUAAUUACCAAACAUGUAUUAGGAAAAAAAUCUCCAUACAUAAAAGUUAACAAAAAUGGCUACAUCUUUUAUUAACUAAAUUUUUUACCAAUAUGCAAAAAAUACUAAACAUGCAUGUGAAUUUCACAUAGAUAGAAAUUAAAUGUAGAACUAAUAUGUGACAAAUUCAAAAGACAGUAUUAACACUGAAUAAUGCAUGAAAAAAAUGAUUGAGUAUGAAUCAAAAGACAUGAACUGAUAUGUGUACAUAUUACACACAUAAACGUGAAUUAGAAUUAAUAUGUAUACCAACGAAAAGUAAAGGAGAAUGAACAACUUUGUUAUGAUGUACAUGUAUAUCGAAAGAAUUCACAUGACACCAAAUUAAUUUUGGUACAUAUGAUAAAUAUUUAUACUUAUAAAAAAAUUACCCCAUUCACUAAACUUUUAAAAAUUAAGCUAUCGUGCUGACAACGUGUUAUAAAAAGAGAGAAAAGAGAAGAGGAUAGAAAAAGUCAAUAAACUUGUGUCUUUUAUUAAGAACCAAAGCCCUCUAUUAUUAGGGCAGAAUCAGGGGUACAACGGUAAUAAUUUCUAGGGCUGUAGGGGUAUAAUUGUCAUUCACCAAUAAACCCUUAUGAACUUUCCUUUUUACAACACAUCCGUGUGUAGUUGGAGGUAUAAUUCUAAAAUCCCUUUUUAUUAUUUUUGAAAUUUCUAUUUCAGAUCACUUCACAUUACUAAAUAAUGAAAAUUCAUGUCUGGCAAUUUACAGUCUUAUGUUAAUUUUUAUUUUUAUUUUUUUCCUUUCCGAAAUGUAAGGCAAUACAUUGUAAGUGUUGCUAUAAUAUAACUUGUAAUGUCUUAACAUUUUUAAGUAUAUUAUUGUUAUGUGUGGAUAUAAUUCUUAUUUUUGUAUCAUAUUGUAUAUUCUAUAGCAAUUAUGGAAUGUCUAAAGGAGCGAUAUUAUGUAAUUUAUGAAAAAUGGAAUGUUGCGAAUCUUGAUAUGUUCUUAUAUGAAUCUUGAAUAAUUAGUGGUUGCAUAUAUAACAUUUUGUUACAUCCAUCAAUCAUAUUUUGUUAUGAUGUUAUGUCAAAUUAAUAAUAUAUAUGGUAGAUUGUUUACUAUAUUUUUGUCAGGUUUUGUGAAAUUGUAUUGUAUAUUAAAAUAUAUUACACUUGGUACUUUGACAACUUACAUGUAAUAUAUUUUGUCGUGUCAAUCAAGGGUAUUCUAAGACUGCUAUUUGAUUUUAUAUUUGACUAAAAAAUACUAUAAUCUUUGAAUUGUAGAGAGAACAUACAAUCUUUGAAUUGUAGAGAGAACAUACUGGAAUUGAUGCUCAAAAUUUGGAGUAAAAGGGACUGAGAUGAGAAAUCUUUGGGAUGCUUUGAAAUUUUUUGGAUUAUCAUAGCUUUGAUUUUGAACGUAUUGUUAAAGUUUGGGGUCCAUCUUAAUAAGGUCAACCUUGUUAAGAGGAGUGUCCCAAUCCUUUAUAUAUUGGUCAUUGUUUCGGUAUUUUACCGAUGUGGGAUUAUAUUCCCUUAACAUGCCCCCGCAAGAUGGUGGCUCGUUUGAGCAGACCAAUCUUGAAAUCCGUGUGCUCAUUUUUAGAGACUUAAUCGGAUCGAAUUGCUCGUUGGAGCUUAAUGGGCUCUGAUACCAUGUUAAAACUUGGGGUCCAUCUUAAUAAGGUCAACCUUGUUAAGAGGAGUGUCCCAAUCCUUUAUAUAUUGGUCAUUGUUUCGGUAUUUUACCGAUGUGGGAUUAUAUUCCCUUAACACGUAUGUGGUACUAUGAUUUGAGAAAGUUUGGAUGGUUCCACAUUACUUUGGGAUUUUUAGAUGAUAAAUUUGGUGUAUUUGAUUAGGUGUGUUUAGAGGAGUGAUAUAAACUGGUUAACUAAUUAAUUGUAGGAGUGAAGUUGUUUAUGAUAUUUUACUUUUACUUACUAGAAUACAGUAUUUCUAGGAUAAAAAAAUGUGAAAAUGUAAAAUUUGAAUUAGUAAGUAAAAUGGAGUAAGACGUGCAAUUUCAACAUUCAAAUAUCUUAUAACCUUUUUUUUUUUUUUUUUAAAUGGACCAGACUCUAUAUAUAUAUAUAUAUAGUCCUUAGCCCAAUAAUUGACUAAUUCAAAUGAAUGCAAAUGAGUUACGUUCAUUCCUAAAAUUAUAGUCAACCUCUAACGAGUUGAAAACAAUCCGACUCCAAACCCACCUCAAACUCAACAUUUCCUCCAUCAAAACUCAAGUUUGAAAACAUACAGAGUCUAGAAAGGUGAUUUUAUGGACAAAUCUGAAUUUAUUUUCAGAAAAGGAUUUCGACCAAAAUUCAUAUUUUUACGUAUUGCUCCAUAAACAUCAAGGCAGAGGUAAAAUGAAGCUCUAAUACCAAAGGUAAGACAAAAAAAUCAAUCAUAAACAAUUAUAAUGUAAUGAAUUGGAUCGAAAUAUCGAAAAACCUGUGGAUCGAAUCCAUACCUCCGACAAUUGAUGUUGAUUCAACACUCUUAAUUGAUGGUGUAUAUUGUAUUUUCCAGUGCCGGAGGGGGGGGGGUGCUGAGCUUGAGUAUCAAAACCCAUCUAUAUAUAUAUAUAACCAAAAUCCCCAUCAAAUUAUGGCUUCAGUUACCAGCCUUGAUUGUCCAAUUGAUGGGCAAGUUUUUGAAAAACGUUGGACCACACUGAGUGAAGAAAUGGAACGAUUACACAAUGUUGUACCAGAUUCCUCCUAGGAACACACAAUAACUAGCGGUGGACUUACGAUUAUCUAUACAACUAGCUCACUUUGCAUUUGAGUAAGCUUCAAGCAACGAACCUAAAAUGAAGACCAAAGUUUAGUAGUAUGCUUAAGAUAUAUUAGAUUUUGUUUGUAGGCCUACCAAUACAUUCAGAGUUAAAAUAAUUACACAUCAUCAUAUCAUCAAUUAAAUCGAGACACGGUUUGAAUAGAACAUGUAAUCAAAGAUCUUGAUUGUAUAACACCCACAAUAUCUAGAUUGCUCGGAUACCAAUUAUUGAAAAGAGAACGAGAAUUACCCAAAAAAAAAAAAAAUCCUUAAUUUAAGAAACUGAGAUCAUACUAGAUAUUCACAUAUAUGUUAUAUUCUUGAAUAUAUAAAUUUAGAAUUUUCCUAAAUUCGAUAACCAAAUUCAUGGCUAGAUCACGAACUGUCAUCUUUUUAUUUCAAGAACACGAUGCUUCCAACUUUCAAAUCUUCUAUGAUAUUUGUUAUAAAAAAGUGAGAUGGGAAAAAAAAAAAGACUGGUAGGGAAGGAGAAAUUAACCAUAUCAAAGAUUAUUACAAGAGACGCUACCACUCCGAAUAAUAUAAUGUUAUGAAACCUUAAUAUGUAUUGUAUAUGCAAUAAAAUAGGUCCAUAUCCCGAGUGGAGCCCCUACACCACCGUAGGGAUUAGUGGUGGGCUGCAGGUCAGGCCUCUCAGCCUGAUCACUCCGCUACCUUUUUCUCAUAAUUUUAUAGUUUCACCACAUAUGUUGCACCACCAGAUUUCCGUUUUGGGUCAAAUAAAAUUCAGGUCACCAUGUUUUAACAAUAUUCUUUAAAGUCAAGAGUACAAAUGAUCCUUUCAAGAUACUCCAUAUGUACAAGUGUCAUCAUUAAACUAUUUAUGCAAUAAAGACAAAUCAUAAUCUCAAAUAAUAAAUUAGUCAACACGACAAGUUUCUAAUACAAGUCAGACCUUAUAUAUCAAUAUUGAACAAGUUUAUUUAUGAUCAAAAUAUAAGUAUAGUGUACUUCUUCACUGAAACACCCACUUAUAGUAUCACUACUGAUCAUUGACAUUUUUAUUCAAAUGCUCUAUAUUAAAUAAAAUGCAAUAACACUAAAUAUAUAAAAAUAAUGUGUUGUUUAAUAAAAUUUUCAUUUUACAACUCUGAAAAACUAUAUUAUAUAGACAUGCAACCCAGUGAUUAUCCUCCUUGGGAGAAAGAACACUUCUUAGAGUUGGAAAAUUCUUCCAUAUGGAGGAAAUGACUGAUUUCAUGGACUUGAGGAUUUGAGUAAAGAAAUUGAGCUCUUGUAUUGACGUUGUCACCGUUAUCUUUCUUCUAGUCAUCAUUAGUCACUACUUCUUUCACUAGUUUGACUUGACUGACGAUAAACGAUAGGUUUUCCAGUCUUUGGGAGAAGGGAUUCAACUUGGUCGUGUUGUUGCUUCCCAUCUUGGCGGCGCUUCCUACAAGAGGUGUCAUUUUGUUGAUCCAUGAUUUUUUUUGGCAAAUAUUGGCCAACAUAGAGUGAGUUGUAACUUGUCUAGGCAACAGAAUCUUGCUUCUUUUACUUUCUCUCCAUCUUAGACUCCACAAAAGUUAUUUUACUUAAUGCACUUAGUUCAACUUUAGCGAUCAAGUAUAUCUAAUUAAAGUCCAUAUUUUCCGUGUAAUUAUCUAUAGAUUGUGUUCCCUUUAUUUCUAAAUUUCUAAUUCUAUAUUGUAUUUCUCCGAGAGUUAUGUAUAUUUUAUUUAUUCUAUUAUUUGUAUUGAUUAUUCUAUCCUAAUCUUUCUAUAAUUUGCUAUGGUUUUUACGUUUAUUAUGAAUUUCUUCUUUUAUUCCUAAACAAUUAUUACACUAAAUUUUCAAACAAUUUUACAUUAAUUUCUAUUCUUAUGCACUAGGUAUAUUUUACAUAUUUUAUAUUUAUCCAUCAUUUAUGGACACAUUUUUAAAAAUUCUAUCUCUUCUAAACUACUGUUCUAUACCUGUCUUCAGAACUACUUAAUAUUUCUAAAUUGUCUAAUUCCUCAUUUGUAUGAAUACUAUAUACAUACAAAAUUCAUUACCUGAUAAUUUUAUAAUGUUGUACUAUAUUUCUUCAAUUAUCAUAUAUUUAUUUAAAAUUUCUCUAUUUUUAUUUUUAUUAGUGCAUUUAUUAGCAAAAGGUUUGGGUUCUCCACAAAUAUAACAUUAUAGUCUUUUCAACUUUUUGGCUUUUUAACAUGCCUUUAGUAACUGGGUCUUUUAAUUUUGUAAUAUGUCAUACUCGGUCUAAUAUUAUACUUUCUUAUUUUGGCAUUUUCUUUUGUAUUUAUGAUUUUUUUAAUAUUUUUUAUAUAUUUUUUUUCUUUCUUCUUCUAUAAUCAUAUGCCUAUCGUAAUGAAUAAUUUAAUUUCUACAUUUAUUUUCUAAUUAUUUCUUUUAUACAAUAAUUUUUUAAUUUAUCAGUGAUUAAUUAUGUAUUAGCACUAUAAAUUUUUCGUUUUAUUCCAGGUGCUGAUUCUACAUCAUUUUCUAAUCUUAUCAUUCCAAGGUGAUAAUAUCUUUCUAUAUAAUCUGUGAAGUAUAGAUACAUCUAAUGCUAAUCUUGCUACACUAGCUAGUCUUUCAAAGUCUAAUAAAAAUAGUUUUGUGUACUUCAUGUUGCUUAUAAUUAAUUUUUCUAAUUCUUCAAAGGCUUUGUUUUGUUCAUAUGAUUUAUCUGUUCUAGGGUUAGAUCAUAUAAUUAUUUCUCUAUUAAAGCUAGUAAUCUUUCUUGGAUUUUCUCCUUUGAUCAUUAUUAAUCUAAUUUCUUUCGACUUUAGACUUUUGGCUGUAACAUAUAUGUAUAAUGUCAUCUUUCCUAAAUAAGUUUCUAAAUAAGCCCACAUUUCUUCUAAAGUCCUUUAUGUAGGUACACUAUUAUAUGCCUUAAUAACAUAAUUUUUUCCAUUUAGUUAUUGUAUUAGGUUUGUCUUGAGGUUUACAAUUAUUUAUUUCUAAAAUUAAUCAUCUAUCACUUGCUAUAGGUAAACUACAUUCUCCUUCUACUUGUCUUUUUCUCAAACUUUUAUAUUAUGUGUAAUAUCCCGAAAUUUUAGUAGAAUAGAAUUUAAUUUUUUGGUAUACUAUAUUUUAAUGUUUUGAAAGUUUAGGGACUAAAGUAUAUAUAAAGUAAAUUUCAAUUGGGUCAUAUAUUUAGAUAAAUAUGACCGAGCAAUAAUAAAUAUAUAAAUAUUGGGCUCGUUGGAUAGAUCAUAAUUAAAAAUGCAUAUUAGGCUCGAUAAAAAGUUAAUUUGGAUUAGCGGAGCCUAAGUUAUUGAAGUCGGAAGAUAUAACCUUAAAUUAUAUUUUAAAUGAGUUUAAAAUUAGAAAAAAAAAAAAAGAAGAUAAGAGAGAGAUAAGGAACCACGAGAGAGAGAGACAGAGAGAGAUGAGUUGUUUAAAUUGAAAUUCAAAUUGUUUGAAAUACUGCCACGAGUAGUCGAGUAUGGAAAUAUAUUGAUUUUUGGGUGAUAUGAUUGAUUGGCAAGACUUUGUCUAAUAUUUUGUUUCAAAUACGAUUUCCUCAACUUUUAUCCCAUUUAACCACUAUAUCUUACACGUUUCCCACUACAUGCCAUCUGUUGGGAAUUAGGUUAUUGUUGCCCAUAUAUAUCUAUACAAAUAUGAUAGAGGGGACAAAAAAAUAACACGAUGAUCACAGUAGAAGCAGAAAAAAGGGACGUGAUUCUUAUUUUGUCUUUCAAAAAUCAAAGCAAGUUCACAAGGUAGGAUAUUGAGAUCUAGUGUUUUUCUAACCCAUUUAAAUAUUUGUUUUUCAUGUUGAUGAAUUUCAUACACAUAAAAGUUAAAGUUAUAAUAUGAUAUACUAUGAUAUGAAUCAUAUGACCAUUUCGGUAUAAUGAUAUAAUAUGAUAUGAGCUCUUACCGAAUUUAAAGAUUUAAGACAGUAUAAUAUUCUGACACAUGUUUUAAAAUUUUUAUAAGGGAUUGCACCAUAAAUUUUUAUAUCCUACUGAGUAUUCUCAUGUACUCACCAUUUUUCUUACACCUCAUAGCUUAGAUCGGGUCGUGUCGGAGCACGAUGGUUCGAUGGUGUGGUUGUGCCUCGUUUUGCUAAAUAAAGAUGUAAUUUAGAACGUAAUUUUAUUUCUUUUAAGUUUAUUGUAAAAGAUGCUUAUUUCAAAAAAAAAAAAUUAAAAAAAUACGUACAUGUUUAUUCGCAGAUGAACAUAUGUAGUUUGCAUUUUAAAUAAAAUUUGAAUUAAAUAUUAUUUCUUCUACUGAUUUCAUUGUUUAAAAGUAAUUGGUUAUGUAGCCUUGUUCAUGUGAAAGAUUAAUGUUAUGUACUUUUUCGUGACCUUCCCAGAAUUCAUGAAAAUUUAAGGUCAAAGCAAUGAUUCCUUACUUGUCACAUCACGCUUUCAUUGUCUCCCUUGGGUAUACUACACGACAAAUUGGAGACUUUAAACAUGGUUGACUGGUAGACAUAUCCAUACAUUCAAUAUAUGUCUCAUAGCCUUGUGAUGUAGUGUGUGAAUUCUUUAAUAAAGUAAGACAACUUUUGGUAGUAUUCUCUCAUUUUGGAGCCGUGUCCCAAGUCUUGAAAAAAGAGAAAAGCAUAUUAACUUUGAUUGGGAAUUUCGCUUAUUCUAUGUAAAUAUUUGGAAUUCAUCUCAUAUAUAUAUAAUGUCAGAUGGUAAUUGUUUCACACGUGAACAAUUAAAAGAACGGGUUUUUUCCUCUAAUCAUUAAAUUGCAAAUUUUAUGUGUUCUUUUUUUUUUUUUAAUGUACACGUGGAAGAUAUGGCGUAGGAAAAUAUUUUUUCUUUCCUUUCUAUUGAUUAAUAUGUAUUUCUUUUUAUGCAAAUUUGAGUAAAUUAUCAUUUCAUAAUUAUCUAUUUUAUUGUGCCACGCUAUUUAAAUUUACAUGAAAAUUUUGGUAACGAUUCAAACCUUUAAUUAAAUUUGGGUCGUUGCAUUUUAUCUUCCCAUUCAUAUAAUUUUUUAGGGUAAAAAGGGUACUUCCCUGCAAUAUCAUAUUUUUUUAUUCAUAAUCUCUUUUCCUUUUCUAGAUUUUUGGUCUGUUUUCAUUUACUUUCAACAUUCUUUUGAUCUUCCUCUAAUAAAGCUUUUAUUUCUACUUCUUUGUACUUUCCAAGAUUCAUAUAUUAUUCAAUAUCUAUAUAUCUAAAAAAAAUUUCAUCAUCUUCGCUUUCGUCUUCACUUUGCACUUCUUCACUAUAUAUAUAUAGUGAAGAAGUGCAAAGUGAAGACGAAAGCGAAGAUGAUGAAUUUUUUUUUAGAUAUAUAGAUAUUGAAUAAUAUAUGAAUCUUGGAAAGUACAAAGAAGUAGAAAUAAAAGCUUUAUUAGAGGAAGAUCAAUAUAUAUAUAUAUAUAUAUAUAUAUAUUCUUCUUUCAUUCUCAUCUUUUUUUUCUUUUGUCUAAUAAUUAUAAUUUUCAGUAUAAUACUUAGAGUUCCAUUACUAUUUUUAUAAAUGAUAUUAUACAAUAUUGGUUUUUUCAAAAAAUUUCUUUGUUCCAAUCUAAACCUGCAUUUAUUUUUGAAGAGAAUUUUUUUAGCUAGGAUGGUUUUUAUACCUUUUAGUUCUAAUAAAAUAAUUAUUUGAUUAUGUUCUAAUUUAUAAUUAGUAGUGCUAUUUUCACUAAAUCUUCUUAUAAAUCUGUACAAAUUAACAAAUUAUCUCAUCUCUUUUCCUUUUUGUUCUAGUAACAUAAUUGUUUGAUCAUUUCUAAUGUAUAAUUAGUAUUGCUAUUUUCACUGAAUCUUCCAAUCAAUCCUGUACAAAUUAACAAAUUAUCCGCAUCCCUUUUCAUUCGAUAUUCUUUAGAUUUCACUCAUAUUUUAAUGUCUAUAUAAAAACUUUUUGUUUUAACUAAACAAUAUAGUGUAAGGUAAAUUAUAACUCCUUUAUUAUUCAUAUCUAAUUUUAUUCUUCCUAAUAGUCCUUAUUCUAAAAUUGUAAAUCUGUUAUCAUAUAAACAUAUUUAUAUUUUAGCUCCUAAAUUUUCUCUUUGUAGUCUUUUUACUACUACUAUAUUUAAUCCUAAAUGAGGUCGUUGAAGAUUUUUAUUAACAAUUUCUUUAUACGAUUCUUUUUCUAUUAGUUUUGAAGAUACGAAUUGGUCUUCGUGUGUACAUGAAACAUGUCUUUCUACAUAAUAUUGCUAUAUUAAAGACUUGUUAAAGAUAUAUUCCUUUCUUAUAAAUGUCUAAAACUUUUUCAAAUUUUUAACAUAUUUUGUCUAAAAGUUUUUAUCUAUUCCUCAACAUCUAUUAAAGAUUCUGAUCUUGUUUCCGUUUCUAUUUUUUUCUUAACUUAAUGAUCUUAUUAAAGGAUUGCCUAACAUUCUACUACAAGCCACAAUUUGUUUUCCUUUAUUCAAUACGUAUAAAUCCACUUAGUGUUCUUAAAUCUACUAGAUUCUUUAGUUUUUCCCAAGUCUAAAUUUUCUAACUUAUUUAUUAAAAUGUCAGUCUUGUUUAUGAGUACCUAUUGAUUUUUCUUUUUCUAAUUUUUGUAUUCUACUUUCUAAUUUGUUGAAGCUAAUCUUUUGUAAAUUAUUACAAUUUUCUUGUAAAUUUUCAAUCUGUUAUAGAGAUUUUUCUAUGGAAUUUUUAUAUAUAUUUCACUUGUGUUGCAAAACUUUAUUUUUUGAAUUUCACAAUUUUGAUUUCUAAUAUAUUCUAAAUUAUUUUCUAAGGUCUUUAUGUUUUUACUUAUUGCUCGUUGAGAUAUUUAUUUCUAAUCUUUCUCAUAGAUUUACAAUUAAAUCUACAAUAUUAUUAACUGUUUAUCUUCAAAACGUAAAAGAUGUUAAAACUUCUCUCAACAUAUGCAAUUGUAACUGGUACAUCAGUAAUAUUCUAUAGACAAAUCACACAUUUAAAAAACAACCGAUAUUUUUAUAUAGUCUAAAACUUCGUUCACCUUUUUGGUGUCUUCUAACAAACGAUUUUUAAUCAUUUGUUGCUUAGAAAAUAAAUUUAUGUUUAUAAAUAUCAUAAUCCUUGUCAUGCUUAAUUUUUUUCAAGCUUAUUACAUCAACACCUCAAACAAUUAUCUUCUUAGUUUGCAAAUUUUUUUAAAUCAAACAAAAAAUCAAAAGCAUUUUCAUAUUUUAAAAAUUGUUCAAAGAUUAACCUAGGAGAAGAAAGAACUUAAUCAACUAUAGAUAAUAAAUAAUAAACUCUAAAAGAUUUCUCAGCAUAAUGUUUUAUCUCACCUUUAACAUUUUGAUCAAAGUGCUUCUUUCUAUGAUAAUACAUGAAAUGUAGAUUCAACUUCAACUCAAGCAACGAUAUCUUUAAGAGUAAUCUUGUCAGAUUCAAAUUCAGUUUCUCUACAUAUUUCAAAGAAUAAAAUAUGUUCUUUUAAAGUUGAUAAUAGUAACGCCAAUAUACAUAUUCUUAUUUUGUAACAUUUUUCUUACUCUAAUAAUGGUACACAAUGUAUUACACCAAUAAUCAUGUCAAAUAAGAACUCAAAAUUCUUAUUGUCAUAAGAUAAAUUUUUAGCAUCCCCAAAUAUCUUAGCAUCAUCACAUGUUUUCCCUAAGUGUCUUAAAGCAGCUUUUAUUUCUGAUGAUUAAAUUUUAUUGCUUUGGCAUUUCCAACUUAGCGUUCUUAAUGUGUUUGUGAAAGUGCCUUAAGUCUUAGAUCUUUCACAUUAUCCCGAAGAAUUUUUCAUUGCUUUGUAGAAGAUGAAAACAAUAUAUGUACAAUUUCAAAAAACAUUUAGCUUCGAUACAAAAAAUUGUCAUAUCACAAAGUUCAAUAAUGUAAGACCCCUUUUUUGUGUGAAAUUUUCUUUUAUAUGUACACACACACACACACACACACACCCCUUGUAGCCGAAUAAGGAAACAAAGCAACAAAUAGAAACAAACGGUGUAUGGAAACUCUAUUCUUAUUCUUCUUCUCUUUGGCACUUCAUUUUAAGUUGGAGGGAAAAUAUUAAAAGAGCGUAACUUUGACAAAAUCUAUUGGACCUUGAUUGCAAGAUUCAAUGGUAAAUAUAACAGCCUACUCUUGGUUGCUCCAAACAAAUGGGGUGCAUAUUACAUUAGAUUGCACAAUUUCUUAAACAAAAUGACAAUCCUCGUAAGAUGUUUAGUUCGUUCAUAUAAAGCAAUCGUAUAACUUCUUGAUUGUCACCAAACAAUUUGGGUGAAGAAAAAGUGGCAAGCCCCAAAUCUCCAAGUAAUGUAGGCAAUCAAGUUACUUUACUAGUGAUUGAGGACAUAGUGUGAUCUAUGAAGCUUCUGCAAUAGAGUUCUCAAUAACAUUCAAUUGAUUGCUUUUCAUCUCACUAACUUACCCCCAAAAGAUGUAUAAUAUCCAAUUGUAGAUUUGCAAUUAGAAUCAUUAUAUGCAUCAAUGUCUUUCUAGAUCCUGUCACAAUACACACAAGAGGUAAUUUUCAUUCAUACAUUCAAUAGGUGGGUUACAGAGUUUAUAUAGGAAAAAAAACUCCUAAUUUUGGAUAAUCACAAAUCUGUAGCUAAUUAAUUGAUUCUACACAUAAUUGCCUAAUUCUAUUCCCUUAAAAUGAUACAAUUAUAUAUGAUUUAUGUUUCUAGAAAAAGAUUUCUAACAACUCACGCCAACACUCCCCCUCAAGUUGAUGCAUACAGGUCUCUGAUGCCCAACUUUUCAAGUGAGUUGUGAAAAUACUUGCUUGAAACUGCCUUUGUGAGUAUGUCUGCUAGUUGAUCCUCGGACUUUACAAAAGGGAAACGAAUUGUCUUUGCUACCAAGUUUUACUCGAUGAAGUGUCGAUCUAUUUCUACAUGUUUUGUUCUAUCAUGUUGAACCGGGUCAUGAGAUAUGGCAAUGGCAGCUUUGUUGUCACAGUAUAGAUCCAUCUCAGUAAUAGGAGCAAAGCCAAGUUCAAUAAGCAGUUUUUUGAUCCAGAGGAGUUCACAAAGUCCUUUUGCCAUUCCACGAAACUCCGCUUCAACACUCGAUAAUGAUACCACUUUUUGCUUCUUACUUCUCCAUGUAACAAGAUUACCGCCUACAAACAUGAAGUAGCCUGAGGUAGACCUCCUAUCUGAAAUGUUCCCAGCCCAAUCUGCAUCUGUAUAGCCAUCAACUUUCAAGUGAUCAUUCUUUGAAACUAUCAGUCCCCUCCCUGGUGAGGACUUUAGAUAUCGAAGUAUUCGAGUUACAUCAUCCAUGUGGUCUUUGCUAGGGCUAUGCAUAAACUAGCUAACUACACUUACGACAUAGGCAAUAUCUGGACGAGUAUGAGACAAGUAUAUAAGUUUGCCAACUAAUUUUUGAUAUCUCCCUUUAUCCGUUGGCACUUGAUCUGAACACUCACUCAGUUUAAGGUUUUGAGUGAUAGGAGUAUCUGCUGGUUUACAUUCCAACAUCCCCACCUCAGCCAGCAAGUCUAGCACAUAUUUUCUUUGGGAUAGGAAUAUGCCUUGUCUUGAUCUAACCACUUCAAUUCCCAGGAAAUACUUGAGGCCUCCCAAGUUCUUUAUCUCGAACUCAGACGCCAGCUGUUUCUGAAUUGUGGAUAUCUCUUCUUUAUCAUCCCCUGUGAUAAUCAUGUCAUCCACAUACACUAUCAAUACAGUUACUUUGCCUCCAUUAUGCUUAAGAAAGAGUGUAUGGUCUGAGUCACUCUGUUUGAACCCAUAUUUCUUCAUUGCCACACUAAAUCGUCCGAACCAUGCUCGAGGUGACUGCUUCAAGCCAUAUAAUGCUCGCUGCAAUUUACACACGACAUUUUGUGAAGACCCUGUAUAGCCCGGAGGGAGGUCCAUAUAGACUUCUUCUUCAAGGUCGCCAUGAAGAAAUGCAUUCUUCACAUCAAGCUGAUGUAGUGGCCAGUCAAGAUUAGCAGCGAGGGACAAUAGUAUUCUAACAGUGUUUAGUUUAGCAACUGGUGAAAACGUCUCUUGGUAGUCUAUCCCAUAUGUCUGUGUAUACCCCUUCGCGACUAGCCUUGCUUUGUACCGCUCAAUGGAUUCAUCUGCCUUGUGUUUGAUGGAAAAUGCCCAUCUGCAUCCUACUGUCUUCUUUCCUUCAGGUAAUGGAACUAGUAUCCACGUGUUAUUCUUUACUAGUGCCUCCAUCUCAUCUUUUAUUUCCUGAGUCCAUUUGGAAUAUGAUAAGGCAUCCUAAAUUCCUGUUGGAACAUGAUUCGAAGAAAGAACAUGUAUAAAAGCUUUCAGUGGAUCAGAUAACUUCGUGGUGGAUACAUAGUUGGCAACUGGAUAUCUUGAUCUUCAUUUUUCAAUGUCUGGAGAGUAUCUGCUUGGUGGUUGCCUCGAUUAUGCCUGAAAGGUAAAUUAUAGCCACCAGGAGUAUCUAAAUUGCUUAUAUGUGAAGGAGUGCUUACCUCAGAGAUAUUCUCAGGAGAUGGGCUUGCGAAUACUGAAGAGAAAGGGGGCUCUGGUUCGGUGGAGUUUGGUUCAGCUUCUACAGUUGGUUCUGGAUCUUGAGUCAUAUCAUUCCUUAAGUCAAUAUCUAUUGGAGCUGUCUCUAUCUCAGUAUUAUUUGACCACUCAAACUUCAACCAAUUCAACUCUUCAUCCCUUGUCUCCCCCUGAAGAGGAGAAUUGGAUGUUGGAGAAAAAAAUGUGUCAGACUCCGAGAAGGUAACAUCCAUAGUUACAUAGGUCCGUUUGGAGGAUGGAUCAUAGCACCGAUAGCCCUUUUGAUGUGUAGCAUAUCCCACAAAAAGACAUCGGAGAGCACAUGGGUCAAGUUUUGUCCGUUGAUUCUUGUGAAGACGUACAUAGGCCACACAACCAAAUACUCGAGGAGAGAGCAUUAGAGUUGGUAGUAGAGCAACAUGGGAUGAUAGGACCUGGAGUGGAGUCUUAAAAUUAAAGACUUUAGAGGGCAUCCGAUUGAGUAAGUAUACAGCUGUGGACACUGCAUCAGGCCAGUAACAGUUUGAAACAUAUGUUCCAUGAAGGAGAGCUCUUGCAGUUCAAGAAUAUGUCGAUUUUUUCGUUCAGCAACGCCGUUUUGUGGAGGGGUUUGAGGGCAAGAUGUCUCAUGAAUGAGACCGUGUUGUUCAAAGUAAGUGCGAAACUGUUGGUUGAUAAAUUCACCACCAUUAUCGGAACGAAGAACUCUUAGUUUGGCAGAUAACUGAGUUUGAAUCAUGGCAUGGAAUGACUGAAAUACUUUGAACACUUCAUCUUUAUUUUUUAGUAGAUAGAGCCAGGUCAUGAGAGUGCAGUCAUCAAUAAAUAUAACAAACCAACGAACCCCAAACCUUGUAGCAAUAGGUGAAGGGCCCCACACAUCAGAAUGUACUAGGGAAAAAGGAAUACUACUUUUAUUCAUGCUUGAUUGAUAAGAAGUGCGUUGACUUUUCGCUAAAAUGCAGGUAUUACAUUUAAAAUCAGACACUUCCGUAUUCGAAAAAAGGCUAGGUAAUAAAUGCUUUAAAUAACCAAAUGAUGGAUGCCCAAGACGACGAUGCCACAUCCAAAUCUGUCGUUCCUUCACAUUACUCUGAACAUGAUGAGUGCGACCGACACUGAAAUCCUCCAUGUAGUAUAACCCCUCUCUCUUAGUACCACGCCCAAGUAUCUCCUUGGUGAGAAUAUCCUGAAGAAGACAAAAGGUUGGAUAAAUAAGUACCACGCAAUUUAAUUCAGCCGUCACUUGGCUUACAGACAAUAAUUUAUGUGAGAGUGAUGGAACAAGUAAAGUGUGGGAUAAAUGUAGAGAGGGAGACAGAGAUACAGAGCCAGCCCCGGUGACUGGGGAAAUAACUCCAUUUGCAUUCGCAACCCUGUUGCGUCGAGGUGAGGUCCUUUGAAUAAAAUCUCUUUCAUCAUAAGUCAUAUGGUCGGUUGCCUCGGAGUCAAGUAAUCAUAAAUUAUUAUUCUUGUCACUGGAGGAUGUAACACAAGCUGAACCAAAAUUACCUGGUUCUGAUGAGGGGUCCGUAUCCUGAAAAUAAUCAUUUUCAGGAAUCAAAGAUAGCUGAGAGUCAGAUGUUGCCACGGCCGCCUUGCCUAUUCAUUUAUUGGUGCCCGUCCCAUUUUUGUUCCUUUUUUCCUGCAACUCAUGCCACCAAUCGGGGUAUCCAUUAAGUUUAAAGCAGUUUUCUCGUGCGUAAUUGUUAUUUCCACAGUAUGAACACUUAAUUUCCUCAUCCAAACCCUUUAACUUAUUUGGCCCACUUUUAUUUGGGCCUCCACCACUUUUAUUUGGGUCUCCCUUUAAAGAAUUUAUUCUAGCAACAGCAAAUGAUCCCAUCUUCACGCCUUUGGUUGCCAAGAUCGCUCCAGGAAGACCAUUGUCGGAGUCUAUAGAAACCAUGACUGCUUGUCGCAGUGCCUCACGACGGACGUACCCAUACGCCUGCUCAACGGUAGGAAACGGGUCCAUCUGCAAAACUCCACUACGGAUGCUAUCGAGACGUUCAUCGAGCCCAUCAAGGAAAGUGUAAACUCUGUCUUCCUGGGUCAAAUUAUUGAAGUGGCGGAUGUCAGCGGCACACUUCAUUGGAUUUGGGCGACGAAAGUCAAUUUCGCGCCACAACCCCUGCAGUUCAGUGUAAUAUUUCUCCACAGAUCCGCCUACUUGUUUUAGGCGACUCACCCUUCGUCGAAGAUCAUAGACUUGGGAUUUAUCAUUCCCAUCAAAGUAUGCAGUGGCAAUAGCAUCCCAAACUUCCUUAGCAGUGUGGAAACAAAUGAAAUUGCCAAUCAGAACAAGGUCCAACGAAUUGAUAAUCCAUCCCUUGACAAUGGCAUUCUCAGUUCGCCAUUUUCGGAAGGAGGGAUCAGUUGGUAGGGGUGGAGGUGUAUCUCCAUUAAUGUAACCCAGUUUAUCUUUCCCGGAAAUAUACAUUUCCAUAACCUGAGACCAUAGGUCAUAGUUUGUAUCAUUCAGUUUGAUACCAAUCUGGGGCGAAUUUUCAGUGAGUGGGGCUGAUAUGUGUGUCUUGGUUAAGGCUUCAAAAAUUGGUGGAAAUAUCUGUAAGUAUAGCAUCAGAAUUAGGUGAAGAUUGGCUGGGAUCGGUGAUGAAGUUGGGGUCUUCCAUGUGUUUGUGAAAAUGUUCACAAGAAUCGGGCUACAGGUAACUUGGAGAAGAGGAACCAGGACCGUGUGUCCUGCUCUGAUACCAUGUCACAAUACACACAAAAGGUAAUUUUCAUUCAUACAUUCAAUAGGUGGGUUACAGAGUUUAUAUAGGAAAAAAAAACUCCUAAUUUUGGAUAAUCACAAAUCUGUAGCUAAUUAAUUGAUUCUACACAUAAUUGCCUAAUACUAUUCCCUUAAAAUGAUACAAUUAUAUAUGAUUUAUGUUUCUAGAAAAAAGAUUUCUAACAACUCACGCCAACAAAUCCAACACAUUCCCAGAGUGGCAAUUGCGAUCCCUAGAAAUAUUUUCUCAUCCCCAGAUCCUUAUUAAACAACCUUUGUGUAAUAGUAUUUAAGUUUUGAGAUUUUAACGUCAUCUUCACAUGUAAUUACAAUGUCAUCAAUAUAUACCAAUAUGAUCGUGGCACUUGUAGCUCCUUUUAAGCAACUAUUGAGAGGGUUAAGUAAGAUCAUUUUAAAGUUAUUUUCCAGAAGAAUAGUAGCUUUAGCAUGUUGAAAGUUGAUUCAGAAAUUAUCCAAAUUUAAUUGAGUCUUUAAUAUUUAUUUUUCAUGCAGAUUCUUGCUGCUUAAUUCACUAUUUUUUAUUAGUAAAUAAGUCUGAAAGUAGUGGCAAUAAUAUAUGAUAUUAGUUGAAAUUUUUUAGCUUUUCAGUUUGCUUGUAAGCCUAUAAAUAAGCACUUUCAAUUCUGGAAUAAAUGAAGCGGCAGAUAACUUGCAUAUUCUGCAUUUUUUAGUUUUAUUUUCUCCCUGCAAUUUCCUUUUUUAAUACUCCACUACUCUAAAUUCCCAACAAGGCAUACCAAGCUAAAGGUGACUACUUGAGCUUAUACAAAGCCUUCUAUCGAAAUGUGAGUCUUGCAUAUGACACGGUGGGACAUUUAUAUAAACUUCUUCUUGCAAAAAAUGCAUUUUUUUCACAUUCUUUGAAAUAAUUUUUAUCCUUGACCACGAAAAAGAUAAGUACUUUAGCCAUGUUUGGUGUAGUUAAACUUUAUAUAUUUACUAGAAUUUUAUAAAAGUUGAUGAGAUGUGUAGUUGAAAAGUUGUGAAUUUCAUAAAAUGUGUGAUUAAAAUUAAUUGUUCACUUUAACUUACAUUAGACAAAGGGUAAACAACAACAUGAACAAAAGUUUUCCUAUAGCAUUUUGCACAUGUUCAAGUAAAACCAGUUAUAAACUCGUGUCGUUCAAUAAUGUCACCACUCUUGUAUUUAUUCUUGCAAGUCCGGCUACAGCUCAAUGUUUUCUUUACCCAUGGCAGCUUAACAAUUUCCUUGGUUUUGUUCUUAUCAAGAGCACUUAGUUAAUUUUCCAUAGCUUUUCUCGAAUGAUGUCUGAAUUUUCUUUGACAUAAUCUUGGUUUUUGAUGGUCAAAUAGCUAAGAAUACAUAAUAUGAUUGUGCCACAUUUUCAUAUGUCAAAUACACUUGCAUAGGAUAGUUGACAUCAGUAUUUUAAAAUGCAUGCAUAUGUUUCGCAUAUGUUUGAUGUAUUUUCGAAACACCUUGUAUAUAGGGUAUGCACAUGAUAAUGCGGUCAACCCAUUUUGUUGAUUGCAUAUGCACACUUAAAACGCCAAAAUGCACAUUCAUUUCUAUUAAAAUCGUGUCAAAAUUAGUGUGGCAAAGCCAACGCAUUUUUAUCUUGAAAAAAUGUAAAUUAAGCUCAAUAAAUAUCAAAUUAGCCCAAAUCACCCAACUUCAUGGAUUAUAUACAACAAUAUGUAAGUACUUAUCUUUAUGAAAAAAAAUCAGAAAUCAAGAAUUUUUUUUCGUAGAGUUGCAAACUAAAUACAUCGACCUCGAGCCUCCUUCUUCUUCUGUCUUCCGCUAGUUUUACUUGCAAGUGAUGCUAGUUGUGUCCAAUCUUGAAUUGUUGAUGAUUAUGAUAAUGAGGAGGAGAUUGCCAUUAAUAUCUUACCAUCUACAAGAAGUAAUACAAGUUUUUCAAUUGAAAUGAGGGAGCAUGAUAAAGAUGAUUUUGUAUUGGAAAACACGAAAAGAUGAUUUGGAUGAAAAAGAGGAGAAUGAAUUGGAAUCCGAUAAACAACUAGACAAGAUUUAGAAUUUUUUAAAUCGAUGUUUGUGUCUAAUCUAAUUAUAAGAAUUGAUUAUCAAGUAAUUGUAGUAUUUAUAUUUUUGAGCAAUAUAUUUUUGUUGAAAUUAUGAAAAACAAAUAUAAAGUUCAAGAAUUGUAGUGUUUAUAAUUUUAAGCGAUACAUACAUACAUACAUAUUUAUUGAAAAUUUGAAGAACAUGUAUAAGGUUUAAAGAAUCCAUUACUUUAUUUAUUUAUUAGUUUAGAAUAUUUAAAAUAAUAUUAAAAGUUGGAAAAUAUAUAAUUAUGUAUAUGCUUCGCAUAAGCACGCGUAUGCUUGUAAUGCUUGAUGGUUAAUCGAAAUGUAUUGUUAUGCAUUAGUAUUUUAGAACCUCGGUGACAUUAUAAUACAUGAGAAGCUAUCUAUCUACUUGAUUUUCUUUGAAGCAUAGAGUCCACUAAGAGUUUGAAUUUCUUCAUUGUGAGCUACAAUUUCACUCGUAAUCUCUGAUUCUAAGAAUUUCUCAAGUUCUUUCCUUAAAAGAAAUAAAACCACCAAUUACUUGUGGGAGAGAAAGCAGAUCAUAUACAUUCCCUUUCUAAGUUGAUUGUCAAAUCUUAUUAUUUCCAUAUACGAUUUCAAUUCUCAAACUAUACAUCACGGGUGAUGUUAAAAUUAGGGUGUGACUCGAAUUCUAUUUUGAAGAUAACUGGAGAUUCUAAUUAAAGUCAACUUAAGAAGAAUUCCAUUUGAAAUGCUUCUUGGAAUCUUAUUCAAAGUCUAUUUGGCAAAUUCUGUUGAAAUUCUAUUUGAAAGCCCAAUUGGGAGUUAAAAUUUGUAUUGAACUUGAAGAGAACAAGAUAUGGAGAAAAGGAAUGACGAAAAACAUCAUUGGAGCAAAAUUUCCCGAGAUCGGGUGCUCCAACGCCAUAUUAUGCUCUAGAAGAAAAAAAAGAACAGUGGUUGUGAACCCUGGCAUCAGUUGGAUGCCUUGGGCCAAGAGGACGAUGGUGUCCCAGCGCCACCUGUACAAGAAAAAUCCUAUUUUGACGUUGAUUCUUGAAUUUUACUUCAACCAGAAUUUCACUAUAUAUACUUAGCACUUCAUUCUUUUUAGAUUAUGCUAGACAAAAUAUAAAUAUAAAAUCAUUGUAUUCUUUCUCCAUAUUUUAAUAAAUUCUCCUUUUCUCUACAAAUUAUUUUGUUCUUGAGUUUGUGAUCAAUUACUAAUUACUUAAUAUUGUGCCAUGUUUUAUUUUUUCGCCCAUUAUUACAAUAAUUAGUAUCAGAGCAAAGGUUUUAUUCAUUGGAGAUUUGAUUUUGGGAUGGCAACCAUGAAGUAGGAUAUUUUUCUUUUGGAUUGCAGCAUAAGAUUUUCAUUGUUGCAGGUAAAAAUGUGAGCAAUACUCACUCAAAUGAAUUUGGACGAUACAUUGUUGGGAUUUGACAAGAUGCCCACAACUUGGAAUAAGGAGGAGAAACAACGUAGGAAUCUAAAUAUCCUAUAACAAAUACAUCUUCAUCUUUUUGAAUAAUAUUCUCUAUGAGGUUUUGAAAGAGAAGUCCACGGCUGCGUUAUGUUUGACAUUGUAGUAAUUACGCAUGACAAAGAGUCUAACUAGCAAACUGUACUUGAAGCAACACCUUUAUUCUCAUUGUAUGACAGAAAUUACAUCUCUUAAAUAACACCUAGUUGUUUUUAAAGAUAUCGUAGCUGAUUUGGAACCCUUGGAAGUUAUAUAUGAUGAAGAAUAUUUUGGUUUUGAUAUUGUUGUGUUCAUAUAUAUAUAUGAUGCCCUAUAUUCAAAGGAGAAGAUGAAACAUCUCGUUAGAAUUGAGGCUCAUGGAGAUGCCCUUAUUGUUGAUGGUAGUUGUUCAAGGAGCCAAUAAAGGUCUAACUUUACAAAUAAAAUUUGUAAUUAUUACAAGAAAAAGGGACACUUGGUUACCUAUUGCUAAAAUUACAGAAUAAAGAAAAAUUGGCUGCAGAUAAUCAGAAGAGAAAGCAAUUAGGUACUCUAGGUGAAGCUAGUGUUGCAGGAACGUUUCACAAUGAUGGAGAUAUUUUGAUUGUUUCUGAUGGCUUCAUGGCGACUUCAAACAUAAAGAGGAUUUGAUUUUUGAUAUGGCUUGCACUUUUCAUAUGUGUUCUAGGAUUCAUUUACAACAUAUGAAGAAGUUUCCAAAAGUGUUGUGAUGAUCAAUAAUAAUACACCUUGUCGGAUAGCUGUUAUAAGAAGGAUCAGACUUAAGUUGUUUGAUAGAAAUAUCAGAACACGUGUUCCUGAUUUAAAAAAAGAUAAAAAAAAAAAUCUUACCUCCUUGAGUACCCUUGACUUGAAAGGGAACAAAUUCAUUGGUGAAGGCGGAGUCUUGAAGGUUCGUAAAAGUGCUCAUAUUGUGUUGCAGGGAUAGGAAAAGACCUAAUUAUAUGUCUUGUCAAUUCCUAUAGAAUCUCUGAUCAAUCAUCACAAAUAUGUAGCUCAAAUGGAUUGUGAGUUUAGUUUAGUAUCGUCAGAGUUUUGCUUGGGGUCUACUUUGAUGAAUAUAGGAAUGUAAACGAGCCAAGUCGAACCAAGCCGAGUAAUUUAUUUGUAUAGUUCACUACAACAAAAACAACAUUUUGCAACGUUCAAAAAAUGUUGCUUAAGACCUUUUGCAACGUUCGUCCACUUGUUGCUAAUCCCGAUGUUGCCGUAGAGUAAAGGAUAAGGCAACAUUUUUCGAACAUUUUGCAAAAAUCUCUUUCACAAUGUUUUUCAAACGUUGCAACAAGAACUUUCGCAACAUUUUUCGAAUGUUGCCAAAAACCUUUUCGCAAUAUUUUUUUUGACCUUUUUACAAUGUUUUUCGAACGUUUUUAAAAACCUUUUUGCUGCAUUUUUCGAACGUUGCUAAAAGGCGAAGAGACGAGUUGCUUGUCGCGAGGAGUGAGGAGUAAAAUUUGUCGUUUGAGGAGUAUGAUCUUUGUGUGUUUUUUUUUCUAGUCAUCCAUUAAUAGUUCAAAACUUUAAAAAAAAAUGAUAAUAAAAGUUAUUUUGAUUGGGCCCAAAUAUCAUUUCAAAUUUUUGCAACGUUUUAUAAACAUUACGAAAGAAAAAACUUUUGGCAACAUUUCAUAAACGUUGCGAAGAAAACUUUUUAUAACAUUUCAUAAGUGUUGCAAAAGAUAAAGUUUUUUGUUUUUUUGCAACGUGUCAUAAACGUUGCGAAAGACAAAUCUUUUUGCAACGUUAAAUAAACGUUGCAAAAAGGCAAUAUUAGCAACAAUUCACUUAAAAAAUGUUGCUAAAGCUCAAUUAUGCUGAGCAAUGGCAACAUUCAUGUAUUGGAAUGUGGCGAUAGUCCUCUUUAGCAACAUUUACUUGACAAAUGUUGCCUUUUGCAUGUUGCAAAAAGCCAUUUUCAUUGUAGUGUUUAAUUUUGAACGUGUCUCUUGACAUGUAGAUCGUAUACAUUUUUCUAUUAAAAACUUCAGACAAAUUUUUUUGGUCAAUGAUUAUCAUCCUGAAUCUUCGUUAGAGUCUAAUUUGACUAUGUGAGAUUAAUCAUUUUCGAUAAAAAGCCAAGAAUUUGUUUGUUUUCUUCUCUCAUAUAUGGUCCGAUAUUCUUUGGAAUUCAAACCUUGUUGAGAGUUCCAUUAAAGAUCAAAAAUUGCCGAAACAAUAACUUGAAGAUCCUUAGCUUGAUAUGAUGGUAUAAUCAAUUUUACAGGCUGACACCAUCUUCAAGGAUUAGAAGGAUGCUUCUUAUCUUGCAGUCAUAUUUGGCACAGGAAGAUCACGUAGACAGCAAAAUAUAUGGAAGCAUGCAUUCAUGUCGGUGUUUUGUUACUAAUAAACGGGCAAACUUGCAAUCAAAUGCUAAGAACCUAUAUGGGAACAUUUUAAGAAAAGAUGACUCAAGAACAUUUUUUAGUAUAUUUUGAACUUUGAAGUAGUGUUUAAAAUUUUAUCUCAUGAGGGCAAUAUUGAUGAAAAACGAAAAACAUGUUUACUUGCUCCAUUCCAAAGAUGUUACAAAUACGAUUUUAGUUUUCCUUUUUCAACAGAAACACAAAAAUCAGCUAAUGCGUACCUGAUUGAAGAUCUAACAUUUGCACCAGCAUAAAAGAAAUAUUGAUGCCAGCUACGGCCAAAGGAUACUCCCAUUUCGACCUAUCCCCAACUCUCUUGUGCAACAAGUUUUGAAAUGCUUCCUGUUAAAAAGAGAAGUAGAUACAAAAUACUACUUUUAAAAUUUUUCGAGUCUAAUAGAGUCGAGCUGACUCUUUUUUGUGAAAUUCUAAUUUUUAUGUUUGUAAAGAUAGUCAUUGCUGCCUCGGAAAUUAAAGGCAAUUGUAAAUGCCUUUUUCAUUUAAAAACAUGGGCCAAAAAUGGCCCGUAUUGGUAUGACUAACAGAGGCUGGCUCAGGCUCGAGGCCAGUACUCAAAAAUGAGGCUCGACCCAAGUCGAGGCUUGAUUCCAAUGAGCCGCGAGACGAGCCAGCACGGAUUUUUCCCGGGCCGAGCCUCGAGCCGCUCGAGCCGAAUUGACAUCCCUAAAUGAAUACAUUUAAGUCAACUUCGAAAGUUAUAGAUAAUUCCGCUACCACCAUUACCAGUGGUUUUUUUCAAUCACUUGCUAGAAACAGAAUCGUUUGUGAUAUUUUGCCUUGACAUAGGUAUAAGAUGCAGAUUUAGUUGCAUACAUUUUGAAUGUGGUUGAAGGUAUUGAUUCUAGCCAAUAUUUUUUUGUCGAAGCAUUUUGUGGUGAUUCUGUUAUAGGUUAUUCGUGAUUCGAGCAACUUUGGUGUCCAAGGUAGUUCUUAGAAUUUUGUUACUCAGUUUUUGGAGUUUGAACCUAUUUUAGGUUUGUGGUAGAGGUAAAGGUUGAUGAUAUUUUAAAGUUGGAAAAUUUUGAUAGAGAAUUUCUUUUGUGUUUUUGACACAGAGUUGAAGUUUAAUCCUCAUAGUAGAAUUUGUCUUUAGGUGGAGAUUCUUUGAACUUUAUUCAUGGCAGUGAAUUUGUGUGAAGGCAGAGUUUGUAGAAUUAGGAUGUCAUCUAAUUUCUAUUUUAAACAUAAUUGAAAAUUCUAAUUAAAGUUGACUUAAGAAGAAUUCUAUUUAGAAUGCAUUUUGGAAUUUUAUCCGAAAUCUAUUUGAUAAAUUCUAGUUGAAGUUAUAUUCGAAAGCCCAAUUGAGAUUAAAAAUUUGUAUUGGACUUGAAGAGUAUAAGAUACGAACAAAGGAAUGAAGAAAAAUAUCAAUGGAGCAAUAUUUUGCAAGAUUGGCCGCCCCAGCGCCUUGUCUCUGCGCCUAGAAAGAAAAAGGAAAUAGCGGUUGAGCGCCUCAAUGCUAGGAGAGCUAAUUAUUGCAUUCUACUUCAAUUGGAACUCCAAAAUUGGACUUCUAUAUAUAUUUGGCUCUAUAUCAUAUUUUAGAUUAAAUUAGACACAGCAUAAAAAAAUUAUUGUAUUCUUUCUCCAUACUGUAAUGAAAUUUUCUUUCCUACGCAAAUUAUUUUGUUCUUGAGUUUGUGAACAAUUAGUUCAUAUUGUGUCAUAUUUUCUUUUCUUGCCUAUUAUUACAACAGGUAACAAAACUUGCGAUAGCCACAUUUCAAUAAAUAUACAUAUUUCUUUGUUCAAGAACAUGAAGAGAAGAUACACUUCAAUGCCCCAGCAUCAAACUUAAGGUGCACAACUUAUACAAUCAAAUACUCACAAAUGAAAAAUAUUUGGACUAAAGCCCUACCUAAUUUAAGAAUAUGUUGUCUUUUUCUUCUUCAUCUCACCAUUUUAUUGUGGGUUCAAGUGCAACUAUAUGAUGUAUAAUUCUAUGUCUAUGGAGAUUAUAGCGGAAAUCCCUCGAUAAAUUUUGAUUCCGGGCUCAGAAAACAAUCAAACAAACACCGGUUUACCUUAGUUCGACCCAAGACUUUUGCAUUCACUUUGGAUUGUCCAAACUCUCUCAAACCCCUCAAAAGGAGAAGGGAUGGUGGUGGUAAUAGGAAGGAGAGGAAGAGGCAACAAUGAUGUGAAUCACUCCAACAAACCCUCCAAGUCGGCUGCCCCUCAACCUUCUCGGCCCUCUCUCUCUCACGACCCUCUCUUUCACACACACCCACUCAUCACCAUCGAGAAAACGGCUGGGAAUAUAUGGAUAUAUAUAUAUAUAUAGUAUAGGUUAGACACAUAACUUGGGGCAAAAACUUGUGCAAAAGGGCUUCUUAAAACCUAAACUAAUGGGCUACCAAUUACUCCAACCCACAAUCUACUAAUUCAACAAAUACCCUAAAGCCCAACACUAAUCAAGACUUGCGACAUCCAAAAGUGUAAUUCGUCUCUGAGUCGAGUCAAGUCCAUGGUGUCGAUAAAUAAUCCGACAACUGUUUUAAAUCAUUGGGUAUCAAAAAACCCAACAAAGAUGUUCAUGAAAAUAGUUAACCUUUUAUCUAGUGUCAUUGUAAAAUCUAAAAAAAUUAACCCUGGCAUGUAAUUAAUUAAUUAAUUAACAAAAUUAUGUUAAGGACGUUAAUAAAUAAAAUUCUUGCAAUUUCUAACUAUUUGAAUGGGUAAAAGAUAUUAUCCAAUAUCGUGUUAAAGUUAAUAUGGUUCAAAUUCAAGUGAAAAUUGGGCACAAGAGAAUAAAUAAUCCGGCAUGUAUGCUUUACUACGAGAACCAUGAAAAUAACAUGAUAGAGAAUUUUUGAAUUUCUUUAUUAUAAAGUGGCAAAACCUAUAGAUCGUUAUUUGGGGUGUAUAUUUCCAUUUGUACAGAAAUUACAAUUUGUAUGAAAAUAACAUGAAUGAAUAUUUUCAUUUGUACAGAAAUUUUUCUCAUAGAAUUCUAUCAGAAUACUCUCAUGUGUAUAGGCCCCAUAUUUUGAUAAAAAAAAAUGCCAAAAAAUUCUCUCACCUCUCCUCUGUGAGUCAAUCCUAUCAUUUCUGUGUGCUUCCAUCCGUACAUGUUGAAGUGCACCUAUAGAAUAUGAAUAAAUGAUUUCUUUUCUUUCUUGAUAGUUUAAGCGCCUGUCCGGCACCAAUUUCUCCCAGAUUUUCAUUAAUUUUUCUCACCGUUGGAGCAGGUUCCAAGUGUGAGAAGCAAGUCAACAAAGCUGUCUACUUUGCCUAGAAGUUGACCGAAGUGUACAGUGACCUACCAGUCGAAUUUUAUUUUUUAUUUUUUAUAUUCAAGUAUCCCAGCUUACACCAGACUAAAUCCUGAACCCAAAGACCCUUGCCCUUAGAACCUUGAAGGGGGUAAAUCGCGGGUUAUACCUCAACUGGAUCACAGGUUCCCCCAUUGCCUGUACACUUCUGCGUACAAGAGACCCUCCUCCACAGUAAUUGCUCCGUACCAAAUAUUUGGACGCAGGUUCUCACUAGGAAUCGAACUCUCCACCCUGCCGCUAGAAGCAAGACAAUGUUGAUUGAUCCACCAGUUGAGUUGUGCCCCGAGGGGCUACCAAUUGAAUUUUCUUAGUAUUCUUUAUUGGUUGAAUCAAAAAAACCGCCAAAGCAUUUCUGCUUACACGGGAAAUUCGGGAAUCGAUCGACAUAACACACCUAUAGCAAAGUUGUAUGCUCAAAGUGCAACUUUGGCCCGUUUUGACCUCAUUAAUUUUCAUUCUAUUAAAUUUCAUUUUUUUCUCUCUUAUUUUCAAUCAUAUAAUUUUAUAUAAAAUAAUAUUACACAUAAAUCGAAAAUUUUUCUUUCUUUUUUAAAUACUCAUUUUUCAAAAAGAUACUGCCCUUGUUUGAACCCCAUUCUUUUGAAGAAAUUCAUUUUUCAACAGUAUUUUGAUAUCAUUUCAACCACAAAAUUUUCAAUAAAAUAAUAUUACACGCAAAUCCAAAAAUUUUCCUUAUUUUUUAACCACACAUUUUCUAUCAAUACACUAUUCAAAAAUUUAUUCUUCCCAAAAAAAAUGGGGCUCAAACAAGGGCACUAUUUUAUGCAUUUUCAUUUCUACAAAAUGGGGGCCAGACGGGGACUUUAUUUCCAAGAGCCUAGGACCAUUUGAUAUGGCCCCACUUGGGCCCUGUCAAAUAUCAUUUUUUUCUCUUCUAUUUUCAACCAUACAAUUUUUCAUAAAAUAAUAUUGCACGUAAUUCGAAGAUUUUUUACUAUUCCACCCAUUUUCAUUUCGAAAUAUGGGGGCCAUGAUGUUAUAAUCAAAAUAUUUUGGCAAAAAAAGUGCACCCAAACAAGGCUAAGUUUGUAAGUAAGUAGUCGUAUCAAAGCGUAUAAAUGACAUAAAUAGAAAAAAUGAAUCUAACGUGUAUAUGAAAAAAUGUAAAAGAAAUAAAUAAUUGUAUCGUAAUUUAAACUCUUAAAUUUGAUAUGAACAUGUAAGAAUAUCCUCAAGUACACAUAUUGAGUUUUUAUUAAAUGCAAGUGUAUUGAGCAUAACACUAAUGCAAUGCAAAGUGCAUACUUGGCCCAUUGAAUUGAACGGACUUUGAGAGAGAGCUCUAUGUGUGAAAAUUUUGUGGCUUGUUUUCACUUUCUAGCACAUUUCCUGGACCUAGCCGAUUUAAUACAUCUCUUUACAACAUAUUUGAUAAGGUGAAAUGGAGAUAUUAAGCACUAUUAAUGAGAAAAAGAUCGUCCAAUCUUAUAAAAGAUUGUCGAAAAUUGAAAAUUGUAGCAUAUCAAACAAACCCGAAGAACUAACGAUUGAAAUUUUUGACAAAACAACUUUAUGAUAUUCGAAAUGUACUGUAUUCACUGAUCCAAUAUGUUAAGAAAAAUGUAGGGAAAUCUGAAAUUUAAUGAACUCCAAGGCACGAAAAACGUUAUCUUUUAAGAGAUGUUUCUCCCCUGUCCAACGAAGUCAUAGUUGGGGUAUGAUAGAAAAUCUCUCUCAGGAUACAAUGAAGGCGUUUGAUUCAAAUUGUGACUAUUUGAUCAAACCAAUAAGACACUCGAAAAGAACUGAUGAUGCCAAGAGAAAGAGAGAAGAAUAAUUUUUUAAUAUGUUUUGCAAACGAGAAUUCGCCCAAAAUUUAUAGAAAUUGAGACAACCGUUUGAAUAGGUGUGUCCCUUGAAAUGAAGAACACAUAUGUUGGAAGUUACUGUUAAAAACGAACAGAUGCACCUAGUCGGGGCGGCUAAUCAUUAGCAAAAAAAAUAAAAAUAAAUAAAUACAUGCAAAAUGAUGAAAAAUAUCUAACACAAUAUAGUGCAAUACUGAAUUAAGUGAAAAAUAGAAUCCAUUAGUCGACUCUAAAUUCAUUAUAAAUAAGAUUUCAUUCGUUGUUAUUUAUUAUUGGCCAUUGCAUAUUAAUUUAUAUAAGUAUAUUCUGAAUAACUUGGCUGCAUUUUAUUGUCAAUUUUUGCUUUCUUUUCCUUAUCCGGCAGCCUAAAUUAUUUGCACCAUAAAAUAUUAAUACUUAGUUGCGUUUGAAAAGGGAAAUGUUUUUGUCAUCUAGAAAACAAAGCUAUCAUGUUGAAAGCGUUACUCGAUGAUUUAUAAACUGAUCCAAAAUAUCAGGAAUCUACUUUACAAAGCCAAAAUAGUGAGUUGACUGACUUAUGAUUACGACGAUUCCUAUAAAUAUCAAAAGGAAAAGUUCAAAGAAUAUUAAAUUGUAGACAAAUACAAAUAAUAAUGACAAGAAUAUGAAGUUAAUUUUUUAUUUUUCUUUUUUCUUUUUUUUCAUAAAAACAUAUUAUUAUGCUAAUAAAAGUUCCAAGUUAAAGUCUCAUAAAUUGAAAAAUGUGCGAGUGACAUCCAAAGAAAAAUUGAAUACAAUUUACAUACAAUGGAGUGUGUUGAAAAUUUAAAUAAUUUAGCACAUGUUUGACAAAGGUUUUUGAGAUUAUAAGUUGGUGGAUCCGAUGAAUAUCAAAUGUACUGUUGAAAAUGCAACUUAACUUCCCUUUUUUUUUUUUUUAGAUAGAUGUUUCUAAUAUUAAACUAUUUAAUAUGCCUCCUGGCUCCUGUUCUCCAAGUUUUACGAGUUAUGAUUUGUCAAUAAUUUAUUGGAUAAAUAGUCAUUUAGACAGCAAAUCUCAACUUCUACACUAAUAAUUUCUCUCCCUUCCCCCCCCCCCUCCCCCCCUCCUCUUCAACUAUUUAACAUGCCUACGGCUUCCACAUUUUACACAUAAUUUCUCGUUCUCUCCUUCUCCUUUCUAGAUCUAUUUCAUACUUCCACGAUGAAGUUGGAAGAGAAAGGCACUGAUUACACACAGGACGGGACUGUUGAUCUAAAAGGUAGACCUAUCCUCAGAUCAAACACUGGCAAAUGGAAAGCUUGUUAUUUCUUUGUUGGUAAGUGAAAAAAACUGGUAGAGUCUACCUAAUUUUCGAUUCUAAACGUGCCAUGAUAUCAUUUUAUCAAGGUUUGCUUUAGAAUUUUCUACAAACUGAGAACGAUUAGAUUUGAACGAAGAAGUUUUGCUUCAGAAUUUCGUGUGCUAAUAGAAACGUAACUCUUUUUGCAAGUUAAAUCUUUUGCUUUGAGUAUGAAGAUUUAGAAUAGAAUUUAUGGAUCCUCAUUGUGAUAUUACAGGGUAUGAAAUUUUUGAGAGGAUGGCAUAUUAUGGGAUUGCAUCAAACUUAGUAAUUUAUUUGACACGGAAGCUCCAUGAAGGCACUGUGACAUCUUCAAACAAUGUCACCAACUGGGUUGGUACUGUAUGGUUGACACCCCUUCUGGGUGCUUAUAUUGCUGACACUUUUCUUGGUCGAUACUGGACUUUCAUCGUUGCAUCAGCCAUUUACCUUGUGGUACUUCCUUUGAUUUCAUUUGAUCUCGAUUCUCAUGGUGUAACUUUAUCGUGCAAGCUAAACAGAACAAGACAGUAUAAAUAACAAUAUUUUCUUAAUCUAUCGGAUCAUGCUUUUAAGAUAACAUAAAAGUACGCAAUAUUAAACAUGAACGGACACUAAAGUGGACAUGUUUUUACUUUCUUUUUCUUGUUUCACAUUCUCUAGUAUUAUAUAUUACGGCUUGCACCAUUAUUAUAAUCAUUUAAACACGAUCACGAAAUCCUUAUAAGAUCAGGGAAAACAAUUCUUGGUCAUAUUUUCGUUCCUUGUAACAGGGAAUGUGCUUAUUGACGCUAGCAGUUUCAUUGCCCGGACUGAGGCCUCCGUCUUGUGGGCACCAAGUAAAGGAGGUAGAUUGCGAUAGACAUGCCUCAACAUUUCAAGUCGGCAUCUUCUACUGUGCAUUAUACAUAAUUGCAGUUGGAACAGGCGGAACAAAGCCUAAUAUCUCUACAAUGGGAGCAGAUCAAUUUGAUGAUUUUGAGCCUAAAGAAAGGUUACAAAAGCUCUCAUUCUUCAACUGGUGGAUGUUUAGUGUCUUCAUUGGCAUCCUUUUCUCCAACACUUUCCUUAUUUACAUUCAAGACAAUGUGGGGUGGGAACUUGGCUAUGGCCUCCCUACACUUGGGCUCACAGUAUCGAUACUUUUCUUCAUUGUGGGUACACGUUAUUAUAGACACAAACCCCCAUCAGAUAGCCCGUUGAAUCGAAUGGCUAGGGUGCUUGUAGCCACCGUAAGAAAGUGGAAGGUAGUCAUCCCUGACGAACCAAAGGAACUUUAUGAGCUGAGCUUGGAAGAGUACUCCAAACCUGGCAUGUUUAGAAUUGACCACACCAAUUCUCUCAGGUGCAUAUUUUUCUCCCGAAUAAAGAUACUUGGACAAGGCCAUGUAGGCCCUGCCUGUGGGAGUGCCUUGGAUGUCCGUCCAGCAUAACCCUUUUCUCCCAUUCUAAGUCUUUUUAGCAUGUGUAACAACUAAUAGAAAUCUCACGUCACUCGUGGAAGGUCUGUCUUAUGGGUUUAUAAGCACAUUAGUGCCCUCCUCUUUCAAAGUCGAUUUUAAACGUAACUCACUCUCAUUUCACUUCUGCAGCUUCCUGGACAAAGCAGCAGUCGAAAUCGGACAAAAUUCGCCAUGGAUGUUAUGUCCGGUGACACAAGUUGAACAAACCAAACAAAUGAUAAAAAUGAUUCCAAUCUUGCUUGCAACUUUCGUUCCCGCUACUAUGUUCGCACAGACAAACACUCUCUUUAUCAAGCAAGGCACAACUUUGGAAAAAAGCAUUGGUCCCCAUUUCAAAAUUCCUCCAGGAUGUCUCUCGGCAUUUGUGACUAUUUUCAUGUUGACUAGCCUCGUACUAUAUGACCGGUUCUUCGUUCCCUUUGUACGAAGAUACACGAAGAAUCCUAGAGGGAUCACCUUGUUGCAGAGGUUUGGGAUCGGCCUCGUGUUGCAUAUCAUAGUCAUGGGAACUGCUUGUUUAGCAGAAAGAAGGCGUCUAAGGGUUGCUAAAGAGAACGAAAUCUUUGAGAAAAAUCAAAUCGUUCCUCUUUCGAUCUUCAUUCUUCUACCACAGUUUGCUCUAAUGGGGGUAGCUGAUACCUUCGUAGAAGUUGCGAAAAUCGAGUUCUUCUAUGAUCAAGCACCUGAAGGCAUGAAAAGCCUCGGAACUGCCUAUUUUACGACUAGUUUUGGAGUUGGAUACUUCAUAAGUAGUUUUCUGUUGAAAACUGUGGCUGACAUUACCGAGAAACGUGGCAAAGGAUGGAUUUUGGACAACCUAAACGUCUCUCGUUUGGACUAUUAUUAUGCAUUUUUGGCUGUGCUGUGCUUUCUCAACUUACUUUACUUUCUGCUAGUUGCAAAGCUCUUUGUUUACAACACAGAACUGAAGGAUACCGAAAUGGAGUUGCAUGAAGCAA